rnacentral:lncRNA from 1 species
UCUGCGUCGCUUUGUUGGAGGUCCAUAAUCUGCACUGUGCUUUCCCAACUCUGCGCCAGGUUUCCUCUUUGCACCUCGAUCUCUUUCUGGCAUCCUUCUAUCAUUUCUUUUAGCCCUGUAGUCCUGUAAAUAAUCAUCUCCUAUUUCAGGUUUUUUCUUCUUCUUUUUCUUCUUCUUUGCUUUUUGGAUGAGUUCUUCCUCUCUCUCUUUUCUGAUGGAUUCUUCAUACCUCCUAAGUUCAGCAAACCUUUCCCGCUCUUCCACAAACCUCCUUUCUUCCUCAUAAAUCCUCCUUGCCCUUUCUUCUUUGAUCCUCUCAGCAUUUCUUCUCUUCUCUUCCUCUUCCCACCAAUUCCUCUCAUCUCUCACUUCCUUUUUGCUGAAUCAUUAGUCAAUAAAGGGAUCUGCUUUUCUCGCUUCUCGAAACUUGACAAUUCAACUAUUUUCUUAGUUUUUCUAUACUCGUGGGGACCCAUCCUGACUAACCCUGUCCAGAUCAAUAAUCUCUUUCGGCCGUUUGAUUAUGAUUUUCUUUUGAGGUGGCUCUCUAUCUUUAUCAGCAGGUGGACGUAUGACAAUAGAGGGUUUAUGAGAUUCAACUAGUUCUCUAUCUGUAGUUGUUACGGGCCUAAUAAGAAUGGAGGGCUUAUGAGAUUCAACUUGUUCUCUAUCUGUAUUUGCUGGGGGUCUUAUAAUAACAGAGGGCUUAUGAGAUUCAGCUUGGCUUUUAUCUACUGUAUCUACUGGAGGCUGUAUUACAAUAGAGGGUUUAUGAGACUCUACCUGUGUUUCUUCAGGUCUUGGCUUGUUAGAAAUUACUAUUCUAUUAACCUUACCAACGGACUUAUUCGCAGUUUCAACAACAUCAGAAGUACUCGGUUGGUCGGAACUUUGUGUAGAUGCAACAGGAAAUUUAUCAGGAAGCUUAUCAGCUGAGCUGCACUUGAAUUUUACUGGAACCACUUUCGUCUUCAAACUGGAUUUUUCAUCUUCAGGAGCUUCGAUCAAAGCAAUUUUUGUUGCACUUUUAGAUAUGAGCUUCUUUUUCUUCAGACUUUUCAGCUGGGACUGACUUGAAGGGUCCAGAGAGUUAGAUUUCCCCAAGGAUUUAUCCAUAUCUGCAGUUUCAAGCUGCGUUUCUGGCUCUGCUCUAUAUCUGGGGCAGUUUUUGUUGGUCCUCAUGUGUCCAUGCUGGUCAAUAAGGAAAAAAAUCACUGUAAAAAUAUAUCCUUAAAUAACACAUAGAAGCUAUGUUAACUUCGAAUAUUCCGCACCUGACCACAAGCUCCACAAACAAAAGUCUCCCUUGAUGACUUUUUCUCCUUGAACAUCUGGUUUAAAACCAAAAAAAUCAUAUGUUAUGAUAAUCUUCACAGGAAGCAUGUAUGUGUGCGUGCGCGUGUCUCUCUCUCUCUCUCUCUCUAUAUAUAUAUAUAUAUCAAAGCACAGGCUAUAUGGGGAAAGCAACACUGCAGAUCCAUGGUACACUGCCUCUGAAAUUAUUAGUAGCUAGAGAAAACAAGGUGAAUAUUAAAGUAAAAAAGUACCUCAUACAUUUAUACAAAUAAAGGACACGAUAACCAAAAAAUUCAUAGAUAAUAUUAAGAUGCACAAAAUUCAACUGAACUUAGUUUUAGUAACAAAUGUAAAGAUAUGACCUUAUUAAUCAAUUAAUCAGAGUAUGCAUUCAAAAUAUUUCCUUUAAAUAGGGAGCAUAUUAUAUAUUAAAAUUUAAGAAGCAAAAAUAGUAGAGUCUGCUCAUUCUUCUCCACCAGAUCAAGGCAUGACUGGACAGUACAAAUAUGAUUGAGAGGGGGAAAAAAAAAAAAAACUCCUAAAAAUCGCUUAACGAUGCAGUUCUUACGCUAUCUACUAACAAUCUGCCAUGUGAAGUUAUAAUGUAUGCGUGUUUGUUUGCAAGUUGGUCUUAUCUAAACAGCAAUGGAAUUCUAAUAUUGCACAUUCCUUUUACAGUCAAUUUUUCAGAUUAUCCACAGAUCCUAGAAUCAAGGGGAAAAUGUUCCACGGUGAUAGUAUGAUUUGAACAAUCCCAAUGCCACCACAUGACUUCUGAUUCACUGGCCGAGAAAAAAUAUUUCAUCUGACACUUGUCGAUAAUCAGUAGAUCAUGGGAUGUGAUCUCUAAAUUUCAAGUCAUAUAAUUAGCCAUCAAUUCAGAAUACUAUCAUAUAUAAUAGCUGUCCAUAAGGAUUUACACUGGAUGUACUAAAGCAUGAUUACGACAAUACGGAAAUCCAGAAAUAAAUCUAUAUGCCCUAUGGUUGUGAACAAGAGGGAGGAACCAACUAGAAUAAUGAUAUGAUGCAAAAAUUAAAACUUGCUUCUAUACUCAUUUCUGUUAUUGCUAGCAAGGAUCCUCCCAACAAUCACACUUCCGAACUAAUUAUCGAGUCAUCUUUGAUCUUGCAUAUAUAUUUCUUGUAUCACCAGCCAGAUCCUCUCAACAGUCACUUUUUCAAACAAUUAUUCAGUGAACGAUUGGGGAUUUCACAAUUCUAAAUAUAAAGGAUAAUCUACCAAAUGAAAUAAGAGAAAAUGAUACAUAUGCAACAUUAAACUUGCCUUGCCAUUAUCUACCACUAUCUUGACUUUUUUGCCCACUGGCGAUAUAGCAUUCUUUUUCAUUGCUUGCACCUUUCCAGACAGGUUUCUUUUAGCAAUUAGACUCUCCUCCUGUUACCACACAUAAUAGAGUCAAUAGCAUCCUCAAAUCAAAGAGAAACUGACAACCUAAAGCCACUUACCUCCUUUGGAUCUUUAAUCUGCUCAUUUGCAGCGUGGAUCCAUUUGGUUGGACUGUAAUUGCAAUAUGCUUAGCUGGUUUAUUUGCCUUCUUAAGCCGUUCAACGAUCUCAAGACCAGAAAUUGAUUUGGCAAGAGAUAAUCCUCCUUCCACUGGAGCUUUUGUUUUCUUUUUCUUUUUCUUCAGCUCGGCCUCAUCAUCUGCAAAACAUGGUAUGGUUGGCCACAUCAUUAAGUGUUAAUGUAUCAUUUUGGAAUACAACGAACAAAACAGAGAUAUACAGUAAUCACAUAAUUCUCUACUAAGGCAACGGUUUCAAUUCCAUUCGAGGAGCUUUGCUUAGCACAGUUAAACAGACAGUCCAAAUUUUUUUAGAGAAUCCAUAAGCUCCACAAAUUUCAUCAUCUGUAUUAACUGUGGGCCAUCAAAAACUAGAAAAAUCCAUUUCAUAAGAGGACUGCAUUUGUCAUAUGUUAUUGGUUAGCAGAUGUAUAAAUACAGCUAAUGCUCAAAAACUGCAAUCUUAUGUUACUUUAUAUAUAGAGAGUAUGUAUCAAAUAAAAUCAGGUAUAAACUAGUAAUCUUUUUACGUUUUAAAAGCAAUACAGAUUAUUUAUCAUGAAUUAAUAGACAAGGAAGAAUUAUCUGUAAGCAUAAUGUGUUGAUAUUUUCUGACUACUAAGCUUUCUCCAACAGUACCAACAUAUUAAAAAGGUUUUGGACUUACACAACAGAAAGAUUACUGACAUCAACCUAUUUAAGGUCUAUCCAUAUACAUAAUUCAAAAAAUAAUAUUAAAAACAAAAGGGCAUCCCCAAUCUGUAAUGAGUCUCCAGUAUAACCCACAAACGCUGACAGUUAAUUCUUCAGAGAAAAUUAAAAUAAGCAGUUAGAAAACAAAUAAUCCAUACCAUCCAUGAGUAGCCUGCAUAAUUCAGCCGCUUCAGCUGCUUCAUCUUCAAUUUCCUCUUCUGCCUGUACUUGGAUAGGACGCCUUCUCAUUUUAAGACCCUUAACACCUUCCACUUUGUCAUGCUUUGUAUCAUAAUUGCUCUCUUCUUCUUCAAAUUCCUCAGCAUCAAGAAAAUUUUCUAGAUCCCCAGCAAAUGAAUCCAGAUCACUAUGCUCAGAGUCACUUCCAAUUUCAUCGUCAUCAGCAGCUGAAAGAGACUGAACUUGUCUAUCCCAAAUCUCCUGACACUUUCCUCGGGUCUGUUGUUGCAGCUGAAGAAAUGACAUUCGCUGGCCACGUGCAUACUUGCUAAUAGUUGUUGGAUCAACCUGGACACCUGAUGCUGCUUGCUCACUUGAAAGCUUGCGAAUCAUAGCAAUACGAUGCCAUCUUGUCUGCUUUGCAAUCAUUUCCUCAGGCACAUUGAACUUAAGAAGAACCUGGUGAUAAAAAACGAUAAUGCUAUUACAUUGUUCUAAAUAUAUAGAGUUAUAAAUUUUAGGUUAUUUAUUAGAAAACACGGGAUUAAGUUUCCUACAGUAGGAAAUAAGUGAAAACAAUGAUGAUUUUUUUUUUUUGGGGCAGGGGACAGAAAAUUGUGGACCCAUUCAGAUAAAAGUAGAAAAUUUCAUUUUUUUCAUUCAAACUCACAUCAUAAGCUGUAGAAAAGAAGUAAAAAAGAUAAAAAUAAAAAACCUAAAUGACUGCAAUAAAUUGAAUUCAGACUUCAGAUAAACAUACAACCCGUAAAGGAUGAAGAGAUCUUUGUUUCAAUCUUCAGAAGUCCCCAAUUACAUUAGUUUUAGUUAGUGCUCUGACAUAAGAAAAAUACCUGUCACUUUCCUACACGAUUACAGGAUUUAUUAGAGACAGAACUACCAUUAUUGUUCCCUUACCUAUCAACUUAGGUUUUGGGAUUAAUAGUUCCUCAAAAGAAACAAAGUAAAGAGGUUACGUUGACAUGAUUUUACCAAUCCUAUGCAUUCCCAACUUCUGACACUCCAUCUGAUUGAUCAGCUCAAUAUAACUUAAGAGAGGUCAUUGAUUAAAUAGGGAGCAUAUUAUAUAUUAAAAUUUAAGAAACAAAAAUAGUAGAGUCCGCUCAUUUUUCUCCAUCAUAUCAAGGCAUGAUUGGACAGUACCAAUAUGAUUGAGGAAAAAGAAAAGAAAAAACUCCUAAAAAUCUCUUAACGAUGGAGUUCUUACACUAUCUACUACAAUCUGCCAUGUGAAGUUAUAAUGUAUGCGUGUUUGUUUGCAAGUUGGUCUUAUCUAAACAGCAAUGGAAUUCUAAUAUUGCACAUUCCUUUUACAGUCAAUUUUUCAGAUUAUCCACAGAUCCUAGAAUCAAGGGGAAAAUGUUCCACGGUGAUAGUAUGAUUUGAACAAUCCCAAUGCCACCACAUGACUUCUGAUUCACUGGCCGAGAAAAAAUAUUUCAUCUGACACUUGUCGAUAAUCAGUAGAUCAUGGGAUGUGAUCUCUAAAUUUCAAGUCAUAUAAUUAGCCAUCAAUUCAGAAUACUAUCAUAUAUAAUAGCUGUCCAUAAGGAUUUACACUGGAUGUACUAAAGCAUGAUUACGACAAUACGGAAAUCCAGAAAUAAAUCUAUAUGCCCUAUGGUUGUGAACAAGAGGGAGGAACCAACUAGAAUAAUGAUAUGAUGCAAAAAUUAAAACUUGCUUCUAUACUCAUUUCUGUUAUUGCUAGCAAGGAUCCUCCCAACAAUCACACUUCCGAACUAAUUAUCGAGUCAUCUUUGAUCUUGCAUAUAUAUUUCUUGUAUCACCAGCCAGAUCCUCUCAACAGUCACUUUUUCAAACAAUUAUUCAGUGAACGAUUGGGGAUUUCACAAUUCUAAAUAUAAAGGAUAAUCUACCAAAUGAAAUAAGAGAAAAUGAUACAUAUGCAACAUUAAACUUGCCUUGCCAUUAUCUACCACUAUCUUGACUUUUUUGCCCACUGGCGAUAUAGCAUUCUUUUUCAUUGCUUGCACCUUUCCAGACAGGUUUCUUUUAGCAAUUAGACUCUCCUCCUGUUACCACACAUAAUAGAGUCAAUAGCAUCCUCAAAUCAAAGAGAAACUGACAACCUAAAGCCACUUACCUCCUUUGGAUCUUUAAUCUGCUCAUUUGCAGCGUGGAUCCAUUUGGUUGGACUGUAAUUGCAAUAUGCUUAGCUGGUUUAUUUGCCUUCUUAAGCCGUUCAACGAUCUCAAGACCAGAAAUUGAUUUGGCAAGAGAUAAUCCUCCUUCCACUGGAGCUUUUGUUUUCUUUUUCUUUUUCUUCAGCUCGGCCUCAUCAUCUGCAAAACAUGGUAUGGUUGGCCACAUCAUUAAGUGUUAAUGUAUCAUUUUGGAAUACAACGAACAAAACAGAGAUAUACAGUAAUCACAUAAUUCUCUACUAAGGCAACGGUUUCAAUUCCAUUCGAGGAGCUUUGCUUAGCACAGUUAAACAGACAGUCCAAAUUUUUUUAGAGAAUCCAUAAGCUCCACAAAUUUCAUCAUCUGUAUUAACUGUGGGCCAUCAAAAACUAGAAAAAUCCAUUUCAUAAGAGGACUGCAUUUGUCAUAUGUUAUUGGUUAGCAGAUGUAUAAAUACAGCUAAUGCUCAAAAACUGCAAUCUUAUGUUACUUUAUAUAUAGAGAGUAUGUAUCAAAUAAAAUCAGGUAUAAACUAGUAAUCUUUUUACGUUUUAAAAGCAAUACAGAUUAUUUAUCAUGAAUUAAUAGACAAGGAAGAAUUAUCUGUAAGCAUAAUGUGUUGAUAUUUUCUGACUACUAAGCUUUCUCCAACAGUACCAACAUAUUAAAAAGGUUUUGGACUUACACAACAGAAAGAUUACUGACAUCAACCUAUUUAAGGUCUAUCCAUAUACAUAAUUCAAAAAAUAAUAUUAAAAACAAAAGGGCAUCCCCAAUCUGUAAUGAGUCUCCAGUAUAACCCACAAACGCUGACAGUUAAUUCUUCAGAGAAAAUUAAAAUAAGCAGUUAGAAAACAAAUAAUCCAUACCAUCCAUGAGUAGCCUGCAUAAUUCAGCCGCUUCAGCUGCUUCAUCUUCAAUUUCCUCUUCUGCCUGUACUUGGAUAGGACGCCUUCUCAUUUUAAGACCCUUAACACCUUCCACUUUGUCAUGCUUUGUAUCAUAAUUGCUCUCUUCUUCUUCAAAUUCCUCAGCAUCAAGCAAAUUUUCUAGAUCCCCAGCAAAUGAAUCCAGAUCACUAUGCUCAGAGUCACUUCCAAUUUCAUCGUCAUCAGCAGCUGAAAGAGACUGAACUUGUCUAUCCCAAAUCUCCUGACACUUUCCUCGGGUCUGUUGUUGCAGCUGAAGAAAUGACAUUCGCUGGCCACAUGCAUACUUGCUAAUAGUUGUUGGAUCAACCUGGACAGCUGAUGCUGCUUGCUCACUUGAAAGCUUGCGUAUCAUAGCAAUACGAUGCCAUCUUGUCUGCUUUGCAAUCAUUUCCUCAGGCACAUUGAACUUAAGAAGAACCUGGUGAUAAAAAACGAUAAUGCUAUUACAUUGUUCUAAAUAUAUAGAGUUAUAAAUUUUAGGUUAUUUAUUAGAAAACACGGGAUUAAGUUUCCUACAGUAGGAAAUAAGUGAAAACAAUGAUGAUUUUUUUUUUUUGGGGCAGGGGACAGAAAAUUGUGGACCCAUUCAGAUAAAAGUAGAAAAUUUCAUUUUUUUCAUUCAAACUCACAUCAUAAGCUGUAGAAAAGAAGUAAAAAAGAUAAAAAUAAAAAACCUAAAUGACUGCAAUAAAUUGAAUUCAGACUUCAGAUAAACAUACAACCCGUAAAGGAUGAAGAGAUCUUUGUUUCAAUCUUCAGAAGUCCCCAAUUACAUUAGUUUUAGUUAGUGCUCUGACAUAAGAAAAAUACCUGUCACUUUCCUACACGAUUACAGGAUUUAUUAGAGACAGAACUACCAUUAUUGUUCCCUUACCUAUCAACUUAGGUUUUGGGAUUAAUAGUUCCUCAAAAGAAACAAAGUAAAGAGGUUACGUUGACAUGAUUUUACCAAUCCUAUGCAUUCCCAACUUCUGACACUCCAUCUGAUUGAUCAGCUCAAUAUAACUUAAGAGAGGUCAUUGAUUAAGUCCUCAGAUAUCCUAUAGAUUAUCUACAAAAUUUAAUCAAUUCCAACCAAAUGAAAUUCUAAGGCAUGCAGCCUCUUGUUUCUUGAGGCCAGGCCAAGAGGGCAACAGAUGACCCCAAAUAUCAUAUAAUUUUUGCUGGUAUCCACACUAUACCUCCAAAUAUCAUAUAAUUUUCCUGCUAUAGGCUUGGCCAAGUAUUUGGACAAGAAAAGUUCAAGAAACUAAUCGACUGUCAAGUAAAAUGCCGAUAAUUUUUUCUAAGUUAAACGAUGUGCUUCAUCUUAAGCAUCUUAAGCUCAAAAACAGAUAGAUUAAUGGAGCUAUUAAAAUCCCAAUUUGUCACCUCUCUUGCAGCCUCCAUGCUCAGUCUACGAAGAUCAGCAUCUGUUCCAGUAACAUUGGAACCUCCUCGAUUAGCAGCUACUUUUUUCUUCACCAUUGCACUUGACACUGAAGCUUUAGGAGCAGCACGGACAUAACUAAAUCCUAGGCCCCGACCGGAUGGAUCACCAACACCAGUUAUUUCCAAACGCUCAAUGUUUUCCCUGUCCUGAACUUAAAUAGAUGGAGAAUAUAGAGUAAACAAUACAAAAAUAUAAAUGCAAAAGAGAAAAGGAAAAACAGGAAGUGGUGUUUGUUGAGUGUAAUGCCCCAAAAACCAUCCAUAAUAUGAAUGAUAAAGUAAAUAAUUACCCCCCUCCCCCCCAAAAAAAAGGUUUGAACAGCUCCAGUGAAACCGAAUGGGAUACCACAACCAGAAUUGAAUAAUUAAAGAUUGGCAAAUAGCUCCAGCACAAAGCAGAAAUAUUUCCACAACUAGCACCACGACCACGGUUUACAAUUAAGGAAAAAGGGAAGCACUAUAAUACGUUUUAGCCAGGGUUCAGAACAUUGCACGCGCACACACGCAAAAAAGGUGCAAACUUUCAUCUGUCAGAUUGAUUGAUUUACCUGGUUUGUGCAGGCAACAAAGUUGCUACUCAGGUUCCAUGGAGUUAUCUGAAGUUCCCUCUCAAUAUGAGAUGCAGCAGCUAGAGCAAUUGCUUCAUCAGGGAGCUGAAUCAUGGCUGAGGAAAUGCUAGCAGGAAGAGUUGUGUAAUUCCCAAAUGUUUAAGCCGGUUGAGACCAGCUUGCAUACUUUCAUAGGAGCAGACCUAAGCCAUAAUGAAAAACGAAGGGAGCAGAAGGAAAGGAGUGAGCAAAGCAUAUAAAUGGCAAGAUAAACCAGAAACAAGGACAAUAAUUUUUCACAAGAAUGUAGAAAUCAGUAACUGCAGCAGCACGAAGCAAUUACAGAAUAUAACACGUACGUUCUGGUCUACCAAGCGGGCACUGAUGAUAAUAAUUAGACACCAUGUGACACAUUAACGUAGGUGUUAUAAGUUAGCACUCAAUUUUAAAAAUGAACAAAAGUCCCAUUUAUGAAACCAAGGCAAGGAAACAAAUCAUGCUAACCCAAUAACUAAUUUUGAAGAAAAUAAAAUUCUUAGAAACAGGUAAAACUUACUAAGUUCGUUGGAUAUCUGAGAUGGUUCUAAAAAAAAAAAAAUUAAAAAAAAAGGUUUUGGUUAUGGAAAGCAAAAGGCAUCUGUAAUAUGUAUUAACUUACAUGCUCUGGAUAUACUAAUUUUCUCAAAUCACCCUCAGAUGGAAUGUGAAAAGUACGCUUCAUAGACCAAACCUGCUUUCCGUUUCCAUCCCGCUGUAGGUUGCAUUUGCAUGUAAACAAAAUAGGUGAGUACAAUAAAAUAACAACUAUUAAAACAGGACAGAAAGACAGAAUAAAGCUUCAAGCAUGUAUUCAAGCAGCAGCAAAUUGCCAAAGUAAUAUGAUAUGAACAUAUCCAAAAGAACAGCUUACCCGCAAAAAAGCACAUUCCUUCAUCUUCUUCCGUAUAAUUGCUUCUGAAAGGUUAGGAAACUGCGCAGACAACUCAUCUACACCAAUGCAGGGCAGCAAACCACGUUUUGCAGCAGCAGAAAAUUCACGAUAUACAUUUACCAGCAUCCUAUUUAUGCUAUAUGUUUGAAGGUUUUUUGAUCCAGGAGACAUCACCUCCAUGAGAGGCUCCUGCAAAUAAAUCAACAAAAUAUAAUUUAUUAAUCUCUUCCAAGAUUAUAAAAGCUUUGUUGAUGUACUGAAUUCGGAAGAUCUGCAUAUCAUAUUGGCACUAAUGCUCAACCGGGUAGGAUUUUAAGUUGAGUUGAAGUAGAAUAGUUCUCUUUUUAGCUGCUAUAGGCAGGCCAUGUUAUAUAUUCGAUAAAAGAGCUAAUGAUUAUUUGAUAAUAAAACCCAAAUUUCUCUUUCUCUCUCUCCCUUGCAGUUUCCUCUCUAUUCUUUUCUAAUUUUUGUUCUCCUCUCCCUAAUUUCUGAAUGUUUUCUCCAUUUGUCUCUCUUAGUAGUUCUCCUCUUCUAUUUCUUUAUUUUUCCCUUGAUUUCUUCGUCCAACCAAUUAUAGCCUGCCAUUACUGAAUCAGACAAAGCAUAAAUCUCCAUCAACAGACCAUCUCCAAAGAUUCAACAAUCUUUCUAUUUUAAACACAAAAUGAGGAAAAAUAUUACUAGUUUUAGGAACACUUGAUUAGAGCUCAAUAGUUUCAAGUGUCAACAAACAGGUCUAUAAUGAAAUAUACAACAAGAUUCAAUACCUCCCAUGCAUUUUUUCCCCCCCUGCUUCAAAAGAAGGAAAUCUUUCAUGCUACAAAUCUCCAAAUUUCAUCAAAUUUCACGCUAUCCCACUAUUUAACCAAACACUAAGAAAACAUUACAAGGAGCCAUUAUAACUGGAUGCUUGCCAGUAUAGUUAAAUAAAUUGAUGCUUUCCCAAUGAGAGAAAGUCGUGCAUAGCACCUAACUUAAACACAAUUAAGAGCAUGAAAUGAAUAAGAGGAACAGAAGGAAAUCAAUGGAUCAAAAGUAAAUCUUAAGGACUCUAAUUGGCAAGUUUACCCAAAUUAGUUAAUAUUCAAAAUGAUGCAGCUGCAGAAACAUAAACCAAUCUCAGUUCUGUCUACUCCCACUUUAAUAUUUACUGCCUACUUUUAUGCUAUAUCCAUUUAUUUGCGGUAUUCAAAAUAUCUUCAACUUUGUAGUUAAUCUUUUACUUGAUGUGCUCAAGUUAACUCAGAAAUAGAUGCACGUUCCCCUUAUUUAAAUUUGUCUCAUCCUGCAAACUAAAUUACUAGCACUCUAGCAUUGACAAAAAAAUCCUCGCUAUCGUUAUAAAAUUUCAUGGGACUUAGCAAUACAGGGAUGUACCAGUGCAAUAACUAACCUGUUGCCCAACAACAGCAACCUUGUCAAUCCGUCUAAUGGAAAUUUUUCCCUUUGCAGAUCGGACCAACAAAAAAUCAGUUGUUGCCACCUUAUGGGGAAAAACAGGAGCCCUAUACAUGUUUGUUUCAAGAGAGGACUGACUGCAACCAGCUUUUAUGUCUCCAAGGAAAGGGGACUUAUCACCAGGAUCUAGUGUCAAGACAUUCCCCAGGCAGUUGUUUCCACCACACAGCAGAGCGCCGGCUUGAUCCCCUGGGGAAGACUUUUGAUAAUAAGUACAUAGGUUUGCACCCAUUCCAACAUUGCUCAACAGCAGAGGUCUUUCCUCACAAUACCUGCCAAAAAAAAGAGUAAUGGUAAUCUCAAACUUUCUUUAUUUAUAUACAAAUGAAAUUUAUUACCAUUCAGAACCCAAGGCAAAAGCAAAGCUUGUUGGUUUGUUGGUGGUAUCACAUCAUCAAUCCUAGCAAUACUUCGAAUAUUUACUUCCCAACUUACCUUUUUUUUAUUUUUUUAUUUUCACACUAUGAUGAAAAAUAUAAAUACUAGCAGGUAUUCAUAGCGAACCAGCAGUACACUAAAAGCACAUAAAAUAAAAUAAUAAUCUAUUUAAUUUUUAUUUUAAUUGAUCUAGCACAGCAUUAAGCAUUUGACAUAAAUAAAUAAUAAUAGCAAAAAGAAAAGAGAAGUAAGAUUAAGGAACCGUGCUGUUAAGUCUUCAGACAAAGAUAGUAAAAGCAAAAUGGCUCAUUAAUUAUUCCAAAACUCAAUUAAUGACAUUUCUUGUUCAAAAACUCAGUUAACGACAUUUAUAUUUUCUAAUUAACAAGUCAUCCAAGUUUAGAAAUAUCAGCUGUUAAGUAGUGCCAAUUAUUAUCAUACAUGCUUAACGAACUACGUUUAUUUAUAAAGAAAUCUCUGAUGGUGAUGGACUCACUUCAUGUGCCUCUCAUAGCAACUACUACAGCAAAAACCUAUCCACCAAGGCUUGACUGCAAUGCUCUCCCAAUUAAGGAACUUUGCUCCUAAGUUUUACUGACUACAAAAAAUGUAUACUUUUAUUCUCGUUGAUUUGAUUAGAAUAGAUUUCAAUUUCAGAACAUAUUUGAAGUCCACAUAAAUUCUGUUAGUAUGAUCAUCCGAUAAUAUCAAUCCAUCUGUGCAGUGAUCUUCUAUGCAUGACACAAUAAAAGUCCAAGUGAAUAUAAUGAAAGACAAUAAAAUGGGAUAUAAACAGAGAAAAGAGAAAAGUACUUACUCCAUUAGAAAUACGUGACCAUCUUUCACAGAAAGAUCUGAUUUCUUCUUAAAUGCACCGGGAGGGCGUAAAGAUUUAUUCUCCCCAGGAAGCUUUUGUGCCCUUGGCAACAAAUGUAUUUUUGUGCGUAUAAGAUGAAUCAGGGAAUUUGGGCGAACAUUUUGGUCAGCAAGAGAUUUAUGGUCUUCAAGCUCCUUCCCCAAGUAAAAUAGUUUAACAGAUUCUGCAGGCUUGAAAUCUACAAGAACAAAAGAACAAAUUCAGAUGUUAUCCUUCUUAACAAAUUCUGAAGUCUUAAACCUUAAAAUAAUCAAUGACACCAAACAUUUAUUGAUAAGAACUACAGAUAUAGAGUGAUAAAUGUCAGUCAAAGAAAAAUGACAACCUAGCUUCUUCGAAGCCUUUGCUUUGAUGGAAUAGACUGUUUCCUCAGCGUCCACAUGCAGUUUACUUCCUUUGCCCCCGAAGCUCUUUACUAUAACUUUCAUGGGUCCUUGUGUUGGCAGCUUUCCUUGUUCUUUGACAGCCAUCUCACUGUCAUGUGGAUACCAUAGAGCUUUGGGCCGGUGAAAAUUAGCUAUAUCUUUACUGAAAACAGUGGGUAAAAAACAAUUGCAUAAGAUGAAAUGCGGUAACGAAGUGAUUCAGUUGCAUAAGCAACUUGGGAAAUCAUACAGAACAGAUAUAAAAGAAAAAAAAAAUAUUACUAACAGUAGGUGCCUGUCUACAGGUUUAGGAAACCUGGUUAAUUUUGCAUCAAUCACUAGCCAUUGACUCUCGAAUUCUGUAUUCUCAAUAAAUUGAAGAAAUCGUUAUAGAAUACAGACUGAAAUCAAGCAGAAGCCCAAUUCUUAGUUAAAGGUGAUAUAUUAGCACUUGGAUCUUGCUUCCAUAUAAGGGACAUUUGCGGGGAGAGAGCAAAUGACAGGACACAAUUUUGGAAGCCUCUGUUCAUUCUUUCAGUGUGGUUUAACAAUACUCUCUAAUGAAUUAAAAUAAAUAAAUAAAAUAAAAUAAAUUGAUAUUAGCGACUUUUGAGGAGACAGAGACAGAGCAAAUGACAGGAAACAAAUUUUGAAGCUUCUUUUCAUUCUUUCAGAGUGGUUUAACAAUACUCUCAAAUGAAUUAAAAUAAAUAAAUAAAAUAAAAUAACAUAAAUUGGUAAAUGAAUAAAACUUGUUUAGUGGGCUCGUUUUUUAGGAAAAUACUACAGUAACAAGAAAUGAAAUGAAUCAUUUCCAUUCUUAGAGUUUGUGAAGGAAACCAGAAAACGCCAUAUUGGCAUUCUCAAAUUUUUGUUCUCUGCCAAGGGUCACACCAAUUUGACUUUGUAUGAUCAUUGCAAUAAAUUUUGUGGGUCCUACAAUAAAGAUGUCUUAUUUCCAUUAUUAUAAUAUAUAAGAAUAUGAACAAAUGUGAAUAUAAUUAUAAAUUGAUUCAUAUUAUCUUAAAUAUUAUUAUGUUAUAAUAAAACACAAUAAAAAAUACAUUACUAUUUUUAAAAAUACAAAAUUAACUUUUUUGGAAUAUUUGUAAAAACUUAAAAAGUAAUGCACAAAAAAUAUAAUUAUCUAACUAAAUAAAUUUUUAGUGACAUAAUAUAUUUAUUAUAUUACAUUAUGAUAUUAUAUAGAAACUUUCAUAUUUAUCUACUAAAGUAAUAAAAGACCAUUUAAAAAAAUGACACUUUAUGACAAUUAACUCACCCCAAAAAAAAAAAUCAACUAUAAAAAAAUCAUUAAAUAAUGAGUAAUCCUUUACCCUCUCUCACUGUUCCAACUUUUUCAGACAAACAACCAAACAUCUUUUCAUUGUUUUCAUUUUCAUAUGCUAUUUUUAAAAUAAGUUACCAAACACGUUUUUAUUUUUAAAAGUAUCACAUCAAAAACACAAUUUUUCUUUCUCUAAACAAAUGUAAAAAACAUCAAUUGGAAAACAAUACCAAACACACCCUUAGACAUUCUUAAGAAACGGUGUACAUGGCACAAACAGAAUUACCAACAGAGAUCUGAAAAACUUACAAGUGACAGUGCAGACAACAUAGUUAUUAGAAUGCUUAACUUUCCUUCUCAAAAAAAAAAAAAAAAAAAAAAAAAAAAAGUGCAGACAACAUGGAAUGGAUCCUUACUUGCUUAACUUCAGUUUCAUUGUCUGAAGCUUAAGUGCAGGUGCAGAAUGAUGAGCUCUGAUACCAUGAGCACUUCGUUUGUUAGAAUUUGAUUGCAGCUGCUGGGAUAUUUUCCCAUUCAUAUAGAACUUGUCAUUAGCAAUAUUGAAUUUCCAGUCAGACUCAUAUUUUUGACCCGCCGGCUCAGUAAAAUCCCCACCACUUGGCUUUGCAGAUCGAGUUAUGAUCAUAGCCCCUGCAUGAAGCAGGGGGUGUUCUACAUCCUUGUUAUCCAGAAUUUCAAAGAGCAUCUGCUCAUCUUGAAGAUCAAGAAUCAGCUUAGGCUUUCCUACAGCAUCCACUGGCUCCCAUAUAAUAUUGUCUAACCAAGAUCCUUCCAUCAUAUCUCUGUUCUGCAAUGAAUGUUUGCUAAGGCGUUUUACAGCAUCGCUUUGGCAGAGCUUCAUUGAAACAUUCUCUUUUAUACCAUUUGCAUGAUUAUGAUUAUCCAGAUCCAGCUGAGAUUCUAACCUCAAAAGCUGAGGAUGGUAUCUGCUUUCUGUGAACAGAUGACUUGUAUUAUCUGAAGAACUUUUAGAACCAAAGGUCUCCGACAAAACAGGAGAAUUUUGCAUAUUAACAAUACAAUCCUUCUCAUUUGGGCUCAUAGAUCUCGCAUGAAGAUUAUUUUGUGCAGUAUCAAGUUCAAUGCCCUCAUUAAAGCAGAUUCUACGUCGGCUCCAGCGAUUUUAUGACUCUCUGUAGAAUUGUCACUCGCUGCAGGAGAAUUGUCCCAGAGGAUGUUUUCUUCCCAAUCAUGCUGAUCAAGAGGGAAAACGUUCGGACUCGACAUUGACUUCCAUCCUACAGAAAGAUUUACAUUUGACUCCUCUUUCAUUGGCUCUGAACAAAUACAAGAGUCCUUCCAUUGCUCAUCGCGCCGUUCCGAUAUAGUGGCAGCAUCUUGCUCGACACCAAACUUUACUAAUUCCGAGUCAUCAUCAUUAAGUGAGGAGAUAUCAUGCUUAAAAAUAUUGGCCUGUUUAAAUAAUGGAAAACCUAGACCAGAGCCCUUUAGAUACACCUCUUCAUCCUCUUCAACAAGACUUGAAACGUCCAUGGUGUUGUAUUUAUCUAGAAAUAAAGGGUGGAAGGGAGGAUCCAGAUAAUUAAAACAAGAACAAAGUAAGAACCACGAAUGUAAGUUUAAAAAGAAUAGCUCCCAGAAUUCAAGAAAAUUGGAAGCACUAAAAACAAAACCACCUACCUUUAGGAGUGAAAUACCUUUGAUCUCUUUUCUUCCCCUUCUUCAAGGGCUCAUGAAUACCAAAAAUUUCGGAGAACCUUAAGAUCACCUUUCCUUCUUCCACACAUAAAACUGGAAGUGGAGUCGAAACUUCUCCAUCUAAUGGCCCUUUCAGAAUAUCAGCAAGCUCCUGUUGGUAUUUAUGUUAACAGACUAAUAACAUUGGUUUUUAAUGGUAUUAAACAAACAUGUCAGCAAGAUUGGGUUUUGCAUUCGCGAGAUGACAGACAUAAUUAUAUCGAUAAACUUAAAUGGAAUAAAAGAAUGACAGAUGCUGCACGUCCAAGAAAUAGGUAGCUUGACACAAACCAAUCCACACAGGACAACAAAAUAUCUUUACCCACUAUAUCUUUGGCAUCAACUAUUAAAAGUGCAGAAUCACACCACCUCUUGCUUAUGGAUGAAUGAUGAAAUCAAAGUCAACCUUUUUCAGUUUAUUUCAAAAAGACUAAUCAUUUCUUUCUUUCUUUCUUUUUUUUUUUUUUUUUUUUUGAGGGCUAAGAGACAAAUACUUUUUUUUUUUUUUUUUUUUUUUUUUUUUUUUUUUUUUUUUUUUUUUUUUUUUUUUUUUUUUUUUUUUUUUUUUUUUUUUUUUUUUUUUUUUUUUUUUUUUUUUUUUUUUUUUUUUUUUUUUUUUUUUUUUUUUUUUUUUUUUUUUUUUUUUUUUUUUUUUUUUUUUUUUUUUUUUUUUUUUUUUUUUUUUUUUUUUUUUUUUUUUUUUUUUUUUUUUUUUUUUUUUUUUUUUUUUUUUUUUUUUUUUUUUUUUUUUUUUUUUUUUUUUUUUUUUUUUUUUUUUUUUUUUUUUUUUUUUUUUUUUUUUUUUUUUUUUUUUUUUUUUUUUUUUUUUUUUUUUUUUUUUUUUUUUUUUUUUUUUUUUUUUUUUUUUUUUUUUUUUUUUUUUUUUUUUUUUUUUUUUUUUUUUUUUUUUUUUUUUUUUUUUUUUUUUUUUUUUUUUUUUUUUUUUUUUUUUUUUUUUUUUUUUUUUUUUUUUUUUUUUUUUUUUUUUUUUUUUUUUUUUUUUUUUUUUUUUUUUUUUUUUUUUUUUUUUUUUUUUUUUUUUUUUUUUUUUUUUUUUUUUUUUUUUUUUUUUUUUUUUUUUUUUUUUUUUUUUUUUUUUUUUUUUUUUUUUUUUUUUUUUUUUUUUUUUUUUUUUUUUUUUUUUUUUUUUUUUUUUUUUUUUUUUUUUUUUUUUUUUUUUUUUUUUUUUUUUUUUUUUUUUUUUUUUUUUUUUUUUUUUUUUUUUUUUUUUUUUUUUUUUUUUUUUUUUUUUUUUUUUUUUUUUUUUUUUUUUUUUUUUUUUUUUUUUUUUUUUUUUUUUUUUUUUUUUUUUUUUUUUUUUUUUUUUUUUUUUUUUUUUUUUUUUUUUUUUUUUUUUUUUUUUUUUUUUUUUUUUUUUUUUUUUUUUUUUUUUUUUUUUUUUUUUUUUUUUUUUUUUUUUUUUUUUUUUUUUUUUUUUUUUUUUUUUUUUUUUUUUUUUUUUUUUUUUUUUUUUUUUUUUUUUUUUUUUUUUUUUUUUUUUUUUUUUUUUUUUUUUUUUUUUUUUUUUUUUUUUUUUUUUUUUUUUUUUUUUUUUUUUUUUUUUUUUUUUUUUUUUUUUUUUUUUUUUUUUUUUUUUUUUUUUUUUUUUUUUUUUUUUUUUUUUUUUUUUUUUUUUUUUUUUUUUUUUUUUUUUUUUUUUUUUUUUUUUUUUUUUUUUUUUUUUUUUUUUUUUUUUUUUUUUUUUUUUUUUUUUUUUUUUUUUUUUUUUUUUUUUUUUUUUUUUUUUUUUUUUUUUUUUUUUUUUUUUUUUUUUUUUUUUUUUUUUUUUUUUUUUUUUUUUUUUUUUUUUUUUUUUUUUUUUUUUUUUUUUUUUUUUUUUUUUUUUUUUUUUUUUUUUUUUUUUUUUUUUUUUUUUUUUUUUUUUUUUUUUUUUUUUUUUUUUUUUUUUUUUUUUUUUUUCUUUCUUUUUUUUUUUUUUUUUUUUUUUUUUUUUUUUGAGGGCUAAGAGACAAAUACUUUCAUUUGACACACAAGAUAAUGAAACAUACAAAUAAUAGUACAAAUGAAGUACACUAUUCAAUGUUUAUAAUUGACAUCUAUAUAAACCGUGAGGUGAGGUUUAUGUCCAUCACUUAUCCUAUAUAUGUGUAGAUGGAACUCUGCUAGUGGGAAGUAUGCGGAUCAAAUUAAAUGGUUUCAGCCAAUUUCUUCUUUCUUUUUGGGGGGGUGGGUAGGGCCCACUUGGGACUGCUGCACUGUGCACGACAGUACAGAACAGGGCCAUAAUAUCUAGCACCCUUUGCAACAUGCAGCAACUGAUAUGAGUAAUUCAUUCCCAGGAAAAAUAAGACUCUCAUUAUUUGGCUUUGUAUCCAAAUGCAAUCCAGUGAGAUGGAGUGAUAUAAUGGAAAUCAUGUAGUGGGCCCAAUCAUGAAGUUUGUAAAAUUCAUUCUUGAAAUUGCAUUAUUCACGAAAAAAAAAUAGACCUUCAUUUAAUUUCAUUAAAUUUCCAUCUCUAUACAUAUGACAACAGGAAUAUGAUAAGAGCAAGUUUUGACAACACGAUUUCCCAACUCGUAGAUCAGCAGGAGACAAAAGAUAUGAGUAGGCAAAGAACUCGUAUACUUAUUUGAUUAACCCACAAGUUUUGAUGGUUUGAUAACAAGAGUAUAAAAAGCACCUACAAAAAAAGCCCAACAUAAAAAAGCACCCACAAACUACAGGUUGUACCACCUGCCCAUAUGGUCGGUAACUAGUUUGACCAAGAAGCAAAAAUACACACAUACAACAAGAGUAGUUUCCGCAAAGCAGCUCAGGACUUAAUUAUUGCCAAUUACACAUUUCCAAAACAGUGUUACUAAUAAACAUUUGUUGCUUCUAACCAAAUAGUGCAUAUUUCCUCAGAAUUUUCAUUGCAAAUAUGUUACGUAAUUAAUUUUCCCAUAGGAUAUCCUACAAGCUCGAUGCCACAUCAUGCCAUAUCAUGAAUGCAGGAUAUUCAUCUAAGAUAUGAAUCAAACAAUCCUGAAAAGCAAAAGCAUAUCAUCCUGAAUCCACUGAUUCAGAGUAAUCGCAUUUCAUUUGCAACAAUUCCACCACUUUCUUUCAGUCUUUAGAGUGAAAAGUGGAAACUAAGGGUUACUCAUCAAAACACUUUUUUAGACAUUCUAAUAUAAGAAGACAUUUACACGAUAAAAGAAAUUAAAAAAAAAAAAAAUCGUAAGGGCAAUGGAAUGACAAUAUCUAGAAAUGAUAAGAAAAUUACUAGGCACCAACUGACCUCAUCAUAAUCUUGUACCCCAGCUGUUGUAUCUUCUUCAGCACCCAAAGAGCCAACUUGUAGAUUGCCCUCUGGGGAUUUUUCCCCAUCUGGAACUGCUAUAGCACACUCAGCCUGCCCCCCUGGAAAUAAGACAGAAAGUCAAAACACCAAAUAAAACUAUGAAAAGAAAAUCAAUUGUCAAAAGUUAUCAAAUGGUCAAGAAACAACGAUAACUAGAUAUCCAAAGAAUAAAUUACUAUACAUUCAGGAAAGAAGGAAACUCAGUCUCCAAAAAAUGACAAGCAUAAAACCAUUCUGGUCUCCACAGAUAAAAUUCUCCUAUCACUAGGUAAGAUUGCUUCAUUAGAUAACCUAUAAACAUUCAAGUAAGUUCACCAUAAUUUGUAAGAGACAAAAAGGCUGGGGUCAGUAAACAUGGCAAAGGCUAAGUCGCAUUCAAACUAUGUACUCACCAUCCAACAACAUAACAAAUCAAAGCAAGUUUCUUCUUACAUGUGAAGAAGUUACAGAACAAUAAAAAACCCAUACUCAUACAAACAGUCGAUGAAAAAUGAACAUAGAUAUGAAAAUUUCUGUUUAGACAAUCUGAUGCUGAAAACACUCCAACCAAACAGAUGUUAGAGCUGGGCAAAGAUAAAUCGUAUUUUUAUGGAUACAUGAUGACAAGCCAAACCAAAUGUCCACAUGAAAUAAACAAUUACAAUGAUCAUAACAAUAAAAGUACACACACACACAUUGAAAUAUCUGUAUAUACAAGGUUAGUAGUUUUAAAUAUAAGAUUAGGUAAAGUAAACCUGAUAAGGUUGUUGUUGUAUCUUCAGUUUCUUUAUCCACCUCCUCAUGUUCCUUUUCCAGCUCCUCAUCCUCAUCAUAAUUUUCAUCAUCAAAUGGAAAAGCUGUAGGUUUCAAAGCAGCAAGAGAAACUUCAGCAGCAAAGUAUUCCUUCUUUGGUAACAAGUAGUCCUCCUCGCUAGCAAUUUGAAUCUCUGGCCCCUCAUACUGCUCAUCCAUAUCUUCAUAAUCUACUGCAUCUUCAGCCUUCUCAUCAUAAUCUAGAAGAACAAAACCAAAAAAAUUUAAUCACAAAACUUAACCAGAAAGAACAACUAUUUAAAACCGUGAAUUGGACUGAAGUUCCAUCCAUUAUUCAGUAAAUCUAAAAUAGGAAUAAUCCCAUCUGUCCACCUAACAAUAAAUCAAGUAUUGAAGCUGUAAUCUAGAACAAAAGAUCAUUAACUAGAUUGUGAUGAAAAAAAUAAUCAUCUGUCUGCUAGAGGGUAAAGAAAAUAUAACCUCGGUAGUAAAAAGUACCAAGGAAAAAUUUAUAGUCAGAAACUGCAUAAAGAACGAACCAAUAUAGAGGGUAAAGCUUCUUAAUUCAUCAAUGACAUAAAACACAGACCAUCAAAGAAGAUAAUGAAUAUUACAAAAGUGAACCAGAGGUCCAUUAACUAAAAUCUUCCCCGCAGUGUAGAACACCAAAAGCUAUACAAAAUUUUCAAAAAGGAACCCUUGAAACCCAAGACACAAGAAUAAGAAUCCAAACUAACAAAAUUAACUCAAAACUGGAUCCCAAUCAAGCUGAAUGAAAAAGAAUGUGUAAUCUUGAAAAUCCUUGGAAGUUGACACCCAAAUAGUAGAAAAGAAUCGAAUCCCGUCCAAUAACCAUUAAAUAUCUUCAUCUUUUUCCCCUAAAAAAAUAUGGCUAUUUCUCUUUUUCUCCUAAAAAGAUACGGCUAUUUCUUUCUUGCCGAAUCACCCAAAAGAGAACUCCAUACAAAGGUAAUAUCACAAUUGAUUAUGAUAGGUUAUACUAAUUGUGGAAUUAAGGGUAUAAAAGGCCAAGCUGUAUUUGACUGGAGGGUAAUUCCACUUACUGAAACCACUUCACACAUAUCCAAAUCCCAAAAUAAUAGCAAAAGAAGGCCCCCUACUGGAUAUUGCACAAUAAUAAGUCUUGCAUGGACCAUUCUGUUUGUGCCAAUGAUUCAAAGACUUUUCCAUUACUAUUAAUGCUAAAUGCUUCUACAAUGUCUUUAAACAAAGGAAAUAAUUAUUAAGAAAACAAGUUGAUGAAACAAAGAUACUAACAGAAAACCAAAAACUGCAUGAGAGAGAUUUUCCUGGGAAACAAACAUCACCUCGUUGAAUAGCAUCUACCGGCAGUUGUGGUGAAUUUACUGACAACUGAAAGGUGAAAAACCUCAUUAGUAUCAUACCAUUGAAGAGACACUAAAGAUUCCGCCAACCAAACACUAAAAACAAAAAAGUUGAAAACACGAUUGAGAAUUCCAUACGUCUACAUCCGUGAGAGAUGGACCCAACUUGUCGGCAACUGCAGCAAGGUGCUCCUUUGCGUCCUGAAAAUUAAUUGCAUCACUACCAUUAAUGUGAUCAACAGUUCUAGAGAUGAACUCUGAUGGCCCAAGAAAAAAAAUGAAAGAAAAUUCCAAAUCUAUAAAAACAGAAAUUGUAAACUCCUUUUGGCCAUACGAAAGCAAAAUUAAAUGUCAUUCUGUAGAGACCAAAUGGAUACAAAAACAUGAUAUAAUGAUACGUCAUUAUUUUCUUCAGCAUAUGUACCACAGAUCAAUACAUAAUAGCAGAACUGACACCAAUGAGCAUCAAAAUUGUCAGGUCUAGCCUUCUUAUUUCCAAUAAGUGGAUGCAUCAAAAGAGUAGAAUUCAACCAUGGUCCCCAAAGUAAAUGCCUCAAAAAAAAUCAAAAGAUUUGUGACAUGGAUAAACUUUAUAACAUGCACAAUUCACAAGGAAAAGCUAAAAACAUCCAACUGAAGACUGUCAUGCUUAGACUUGUCUGCAUGCAGCUAGCUGUUAUCAUUAUUAGUUAAUUUAUAUGCAAAUUUAUACAUGAAACAUGUUCAGAUUAUCACCUCAUCAAGGUAAUCAACAUCGAGAUCGCCAGCAUUGUCAACAUUCCCGAACAUAAACCCCAAAAGCCUGUUACCGCCGCUAACAUCCUCAUAUUCUUCCGCAUCAUCUGGAAAAUCAAUCAACCAAACAAGAUUUGAGAAUAAAAAUUUUCAUGCCGUGUACAAACACAUUGUAAGGUGUCAAAAGAAAACAAAAUGCAGUACAUAUAGACAACAAGCAAAUGCUCAACCAGUCGUGAAAAGGUUCCAAGUAAAACCAUUUCUAAAAGAAACAGUCUGUCACAUGUUACAUAAUAAUUACAGCAUUCAUUAUACUGGAGACCAACCUUUAUGUUGCCAUUCGUACUAGAGACUAUUUGUAACUAAUCAGCAAUAAAUUGGUGAAGUGAAACCAAAAACAAGUGAGCUACUUUCUGAUGAAGCAUCCUAGACAUGUCCAUUGAUAGACUCUGAGCACUUCUUACCAUAAAAUCUUUUUUCAAAACAAAAAAAAAAAGAACAAAAACUCUGAGCACUCACUCCCAGCAAAAACGGAAAUGAAUUCAUAAAAUGAAAGUUCUAAAAUGCAGUACUAACGAGAUAAUUUCACUUAGGAGCCAUUUAGAUAUUUCAAAUGACGAUAUUUUGCAUAUUAAAGGAGUAAUCAAUACAACAUUUUGAUGGUUCAUACAGUAUGCAUUACAAAUUUAAUUUAUACUCUCAAACCUAGUGUUUCAGCCUCUAUUUUCAUUAUGCAACUACAAAUUCAUGUGUAUAUUAAUAGUUCAUAGAAGACUAUUCAAGUACAGUACAACAUAAUACACUUUUUUUUUCCCUGAAACGAAAGUAAAUAUAACAUUAAAUCAAGAACUCACUAGACUAUGAAGCAACUAACUGACCUUCAUCUCUGCCAUCCUUAGAAGCACUACCCGAAUCGUAGCCACCCAUCUUUUUAGUUACAGCUCUGAAGUAACAAUCAAAGUUGAAUCAGAAACAGGUAACAAAUACUCAGAAGACCCAUAAUAGAAAUUCCAAGUUCGACACUUUUUUCUCCUUUUCAGUAAUUUUAAGGGAAAGUACCAAUAAAUUAUAAGAGCUAUAAAUUAUAAACCCUAAAAUGCGAAGCUCAUACUGACAACAAAUUCAUUGUAAAGAAUUAAAAAAUUGCUAGCACGAAAAAUAAAAAAAUUACUUCAGUAAUUGCAACAAGAGGUUACUAUAACUUCAUCUAAAUAACUGAAUUUCAAAAGGAAACAAAGCUAAGACAAGCUUAAUUCACAAGAAAAGGGUAAUUGCCGCAAAAAAGAUAAAUAUAUCUGCUGUACCGUACAUCCGCCUUGGCCGUACAGCAGGCUCACCAAUGUGAAAUCAUAACUGUUGUCAAAAGUUAUCAAAUGGUCAAGAAUCAAUUACUAUACAUUCAGGAAAGCAGGAAACUCAGUCUCCACAAAAUGGCAAGCAUAAAACCAUUCUGGUCUCCACAGAUAAAAUUCUCCUAUCAGUAGGUAAGAUUGAUUCAUUAGAUAACCUAUAAAUAUUCAAGUAAGUUCACCAUAACUUGCAAGAGCAAAAAGGCCGGGGUCAGUAAACAUGGCAAAGGCUAAGUUGCAUUCAAACUACGUGCUCACCAUCCAACAACAUAACAAAUCAAAGCAAGUUUAUUCUUACAUGCGAAGAAGUUACUAAACAAUAAAAAACCCAUACUCAUACAAACAGUCCAUUAAAACUGAGCAUAGAUAUGAAAAUUUCUGUUUACACAAUCUGAUGCGGAAAACACUUCAACCAAACAGAUAUUAGAGCUGGGCAGAGAUGAAUCCUAUUUUUAUGGAUACAUGAUGACAAGCCAAACCAAAUGUCCACAUGAAAUAAAUAAUUACAAUGAUCAUAAUAAUACAAGUACACACGCUCGCGUGCGCAUCGAGAUAUAUGUAUAUAUGUAUUGAAUAUACAUAUAAGGUUAGUAGUUUUAAAUCUAAGAUUAGGUAAAGUAAACCUGAUAAGAUUGUUGUUGUAUCUUCAGUUUCUUUAUCCACCUCUUCAUGUUCCUUUUCCAGCUCCUCAUCCUCAUCAUAAUUUUCAUCAUCAAAUGGAGAAGCUGUAGGUUUCAAAGCAGCAAGAGAAACUUCAGCAGCAAAGUAUUCCUUCUUUGGUAACAAGUAGUCCUCCUCGCUAGCAAUUUGAAUUUCUGGUCCCUCAUACUGCUCAUCAAUAUCUUCAUAAUCAACCGCAUCUUCAGCCUUCUCGUCAUAAUCUAGUAGUACAAAACCAAAAAAAUUUAAUCACAAAACUUGACCAGAAAUAACAACUAUUUAAAACUGUGAAUUGGACUGAAGUUCCCUCCAUAAUUCAGUAAAUCUAAAAGACGAACAAUCCCAUCUCUCCACCUAACAAUAAAUCAAACAUUUGAAGCUGUAAUGUAGUACAAAAAUCAUUAACUAGAUUGUGGUGAAAAAAAUAAUCAUCUAUCUGCUAGAGGGUAAAGAAAUUAUAACCACCGUGGUAAAAAGUACCAAAGAAAAAUUUAUAGUCAGAAACUGCAUAAAGAACGAAUCAAUAAAGAGGGUAAAGCUUCUUAAUUAAUCAAUGACAUAAAACACAGACCAUAAAGCUCAAAAAAUACGAUCUUGUUCAAUGAAAACCUCAAAAACUAUUGUCAGAUCAUAUUAGUUCAACAUCUCAUUAUAUCACCUUUGAGACAUUUUAUCAGUUGUCCUACAUACAAAGGUAAUUUUCUUUUUAUAGGAAACAGAGAAACUUUAUAGAAUAUUAGAAGGUAAUGAGUAUUACACAAGUGAACCAGAGGUCCAUAAACUAAAAUCUUCCCCACAGUGUAGAACACCAAAAGCCAUACAAAAUUUUCAAAAAGGAACCCUUGAAACCCAAGACACAAGAAUAAGAAUCCAAACUAACAAAAUUAACUCAAAACUGGAUCCCAAUCAAGCUGAAUGAAAAAGGAGUAAUCUUGAAAAUCAUUGGAAGUUGACACCCAAAUAGUAGAAAAGAAUCGAAUCCUGUCCAAUAACCAUUAAUAUCUUCAUCUUUUUCCCCUUAAAAAAUAUGGCUAUUUCUCUUUUUCCCCUAAAAAAAUAUGGCCAUUUCUUUCUGACAAGUCACCAAGAAGAGAACUACAUACAAAGAUAAUAUCACAAUUGAUUACGAUACGUCAUACUAAUUGCAGAAUUAAGGGUAUAAAAGGCCUAGCUUUAUUUGACUGGAGGGUCAUUCCACUGACUGAAACCACUUCACACAUAUCCAAAUCCCAAAAUAAGAGCAAAAGAAGGCCCCCUACUCCAUUACUAUUAAUGCUAAAUGCUUCCACAAUGUCUUUAAACAAGGGAAAUAAUUAUAAAAAAAAACAAGUUGAUGAAACAAAGAGACUAACAGAACACCAAAAACUGCAUGAGAGAGAUUUUCCUGACAAACAAACAUCACCUUGUUCAACAGCAUCUACCGGCGGUUGUGGUGAAUUUACUGACAACUGGAAGGUGAAACACCUCAUUAGUAUCAUACCAUUUAAGAGACACUAAAGAUUCUGCUGACCAAACAGUAAGAACAAAAAAGUUGAAAACAUGAUUGAGAAUUCCAUACGUCUAUAUCCGUGAGAGACGGACCCAACUUGUCGGCAACUGCAGCAAGGUGCUCCUUUGCGUCCUGAAAAUUAAUUGCAUCACUACCAUUAAUGUGAUCAACAGUUCUAGAGAUGAACUCUGAGGGGAAAAAAAUGAAAGAAAAUUCCAAAUCUAGAAAAACAGAAAUUGUAAACCCCUUUUGGCCAUACGAAAGCAAAACUAAAUGUAGUUCUGUAGAGACCAAAUGUAUACAAAAACAUGAUAUAAUGAUACGUCACUAUUUUCUUCAGCAUAUGUACCACAGAUCAAUACAUAAUAGCAGAACUGACACCAAUAAGCAUCAAAAUUGUCAGGUCUAGCCUUCUUAUUUCCAAUAAGUGGAUGCAUCAAAAGAGUAGAAUUUAACCAUGAUCCCCAAAGUAAAUGCCUCAAAAAAAUCAAAAGAUUUGUAACAUGGAUAAACCUUAUAACAUGCACAAUUCACAAGGAAAAGCUAAAAACAUCCAAGUGAAGACUGUCAUGGGUAGACAUGUCUGCAUGCGGCUAGGUGUUAUCAUUAUUAGUUAUUUUAUAUGCGAAUUUAUACAUGAAACAUGUUCAGAUUAUCACCUCAUCAAGGUAAUCAACAUCGAGAUCACCAGCAUAGUCAACAUUCCCGAACAUAAACCCCAAAAGCCUGUUACCUCCACUAACAUCCUCAUAUUCUUCCUCAUCAUCUGGAAAAUCAAUCAACCAAUCAAGAUUUGAGAAUAAUAAUUUUCAUGCUCUGUACAAACACAUUUUAAGGCGCCAAAAGAAAAAAAAAUGCAGUACAUAUAGACAACAAGCAAAUGCUCAACCAAAAGGUUCCAAGUAAAACUAUUUCCAAAAGAAGCAGUCCGUCACAUGUUACAUAACAAUUCAAGCAUUCAUUAGACUGCAGACCAACCUUUAUGUUGUCUUUUGUACUAGAGACUAUUUGUAACGAAUCAGCAAUAAAUUGGUUAAGUGAAACCAAAAACAAGUGAGUUACUUUUUGUUGAAGCAUCCUAAACAUGUCCGCCGACAGACCCUGAGCACUUCUUGCCAUAAAUUUUCUGUUUUUUUAAAAAAAAAAAGGAACAAAGACUCUGAGCACUCACUCCUAGCACAGACAGAAAUGAAUUCAUAAAAUGAAAGUUCUAAAACACAGUACUAACGAGAUAAUUUCACUUAGGAGCCAUUUAGACAUUUCAAAUGACAAUAUUUUGCAUAUUAAAGGAGUAAUCAAUACGACAUUUAGAUGGUUCAUACAUUUUGCAUUACAAAUUUAAUUUAUACUCUCAAACCUAGUCUUUCAGCAUCUAUUUUCAUCAAGCAACUAUAAAUUCAUGUGUAUAUUAAUAAUUCUUAGAAGACUAUUCAAGUACAGCACAACGUAAUACACUUUUUUUUUAUAACUGAAAUGAUAGUAAAUAUAAAUUAAAUCAACAACUUAUUAGACUAUGAAGCAACCAACUGACCUUCAUCUCUGCCAUCCUUAGAAGCACUACCCGAAUCGUAGCCACCCAUCUUUUUAGUUACAGCUCUGAAGUAACAAUCAAAGUUGAAUCAGAAACAGGUAACAAAUACUCAGAAGACCCAUAAUAGAAAUUCCAAGUUCUGCACUUUUUCUUCUUUUCAGUAAAUUUAAGGGAAAAUACCAGUAAGUUAUAAAUUAUAAACCCUAAAAUGGCAAAGCUCAUACUGACAAAAAAUUCAUUGUAAAUAAUUAAAAAAUUGCUAGAACGAAAAAUAAAAAAUUACUUAAGUAAUUGCAACAAGAGGUUACUAUAACUUCAUUUAAAUAACUGAAUUUCAAAAGGAAACAAAGCGAAGACAAGCUAAAUUCACAAGGAAAGGUAAUCGCCACAAAAAAUAUAAGAUAUGCACACACAUAUUUAUUUGUUUAUUUAUUUAUUUAUUUAUAUGAGAGAGGUAAAAGCAAACCUCUUAGGUUACAGAGAUUUUAUCAUUGCAAUCGAGAAUAUGAAUACGCUCAUGUAGAAGAACUAGAACAAGAUUCGAUUUGAAUUGGCAAGGAGAACAGAGAAAGUGAGCGAGAGCGAGACAACAAAAGCGGAGAUGGGGGACUAACAGAUUAUUUUUAUAUCAAUAUUAUGUGAAUAAAUUAAUAAAGUUUUCGUAUCUGAAACGGAUAUGGAGAGGUCGGGUUUUAGAGGAAGGCGGUCGCAAAUACGGGUUUGCAUCGGGUUAAUUGCAACCUGAUACAAAACAAAUCCUAUUGGCCAUACCAUUGAGCUACAAAGUGAGAAGUUUCGUGGCUUCGACGGAGACAGCUCCAACCCGAUCUCCCGCGGUCUAGUACAAAAGCCUCACACUCAUGAGAUUUGAAGUUUCAGGCUGAGGUAACUCUUGUCUUAACUCUAAUUAAUCGGCCUGAUUCCUUAACUGACUUAUGAGACUAGUAAGGCUUCGCUGUCCUCCCCCUAAUUGGUAUUUUCUAGGUUGGUAAAUUGCAGGCUUGAGCUGGGCUUUUUUAAGUCCAAGCCCAUGUAAUUGGUAAGGGGCCCAAGCCCUCUAAAAGCUUGUUCAAAAUUUGAGAGGGCCGGGCUUUGAUUUUUAAUAAUUUAAUAAAUUUUUAUUUUUAUUUCUUUUUUAUUGGGUGAGAGCUACAUAUGGCAUUUUCAUUUAUAGAUGGAAACUUUUUGGGAAAUUUACAGUAAUAAUUAUUAAAGUUUUAAUUUUUUUCAUCUUAACCCCCCAAAAUAUUUCUAUCAAUAUUAGCCAUAAAACAACUUUUGAGACCAAAAUACCCCUCCCUCAUCUCUCCCUCAACACUGCCUUUCACUCAUCUCUCCCAAACCGAUCCAACUCCCAUCAUCGGCGGCGACAUCAACCCUCGUCGGCGGCGGCUCCAUCUCUCACCGGCAACCGAUCUACUAUCUACAACCUUCAACAAAACUUAGGUUAGUCAUUUUUCUUAUUUUCAUUAAUUUAAAAUGAGAUUUUAGAAUAAUGAUAAGUGCAUAUUUUUCAUAUAUUUUACUAUUAAUUUCUCCAUCUUUUUCUUGUUUUGGUCUUAAAUAUUCUAAUUAUUUUAGUUAAUUUUUAAAUUAUACAUAUUUUACCCUUAAUUAUUUAAUUACUAGUUAUUUUUAUUUGUUAUUUUUAAUUAAUUAAAUUAUUUUAUUGAAUAGGGAAUCAAUUGGAGAUUAUGAAUAAAAAGGGCAUGAAGAAGUUCAAAUUGAGAAGGAAUAAAGAUUAAAUUGGAAGACAAAAAUACAGACAAAAAUUGAUAAAACCGAGUGGAAGAAAUCAAAAUAAUUAAUCCAAUUGAGAAAUGUUGAAUAAUUAAAAGAUUUAAUUUUUUCCAAUUGGCAAUUGGAGUACAUGUGCAUGGCAUUGCAAAAGUAGAAAGCAUUUAAACAGGCCCGCAAUUGACUUUCAAAAGUUGGAAUUAAUGGCUUUUGGUGGCGUUAAAUUGGAAAAGGAUUUCAAUUAGAAUUGAAAAAGGAUUUCUUUAUUCUUGUUGGAGAAGAAUUCGGUCAACUAGCAUUAUAAAAGGAGAUUGCAGCCGCUGGACAGAAAAAAAGAGGAGGGCAAAUCCAAUUCGGCAGCAAGAGGAAAAUCAACAGCCGCAAGAAGAAGAAAAAAAUCAGCAGCCGGAAUUCAAUUGAAGAAAAAGGCAGCCGCUUGAAUUAAUCUCAAUGAUUGGUUUUUUCAAUUCUCUUAUUUCCAAUUCAAUCAUGUUAGGCUAGAUUUUUAUUUGGUUGAGGGUGAAUUCAAAACCCUAAACAUGCUAUGCAAUUAAAUUUAAAUUCUAUCAUUCAAUUUAUUUAAUUGAGAUUGUUUAUGUUCUUUUAUAAUUAAUAUUCAUGGUUUAUUCUUGUUUUAUUUGAGUGGCCAAUUAGAUAGGACUUGAAUAAAUUUUAUUGCUAGAUUAAAAUUCUUGAUUCGUAAUUGUCUUGAUAUUUUAAUAAUUAGUAGCAGGUUAGAAUCAGUGAUUUCGAUUAGAGAACAUAACUUAGGUUAAAUAAUCCGAGCUUGUGUGUUUAUUGCCUAGAUCAACCUAAUAUCUUUCUUUGUUUAAUGCUUCCAUUAUCUUAAAUUUAAAGAGCUUGUUUUAAAUUAUUUAAUGGUUAGAGAUUAGGUGAAGAGCUUGUUUUGCCUAACGACACACUAAGGAAAGAUUGAGACUAACAGAGCUUAUUGUUGUCUACGGUUGAUAGUUUCAAUAUAAAUUGAUGAUAGAAUUAAUAUAUUAUGUGCAUGUUUGGUGGUGGCGAAUGAUCCUUUAACCAAAGUUUUCAUCAUUAUUAUUUCUUUCUCCUUUAAUUAGAGUUUUUAUUAAAUUCUUGUUCGUAAUUUUAAUUUCUUUAUUUCUUACUAUUUAGUUAAAAAUUCAUAAAUCCCCCUUUUAUUUUUAAUUGGCAUUUUCUUUAGUUAGAUUAAUUUAUAUUAUUAUUACUAUUACUAUUAUUAUUAUUACUAUUAUUUUAUUUUAAAUCUUGCUUUUGAGUUAAUAAUAAAUAUAACUAGCAUAGUCUAUGUGGGAUCGAUCCUUACUCGCUCUGUACUAAUUAUUUAUAUUAGUGGUAAGGUUUUAAAUUUGGUGCACCUUAACGACACUACCAAAUUUUUGGCGCCGUUGCUGGGGACUAGCGUCUAGUUUGUUUAUUAUCACUUGUUUUAUUUAUUUAUUUUCUUUAUUUCUUUUCUCAUUUUAUUUAUUUAUUUUAUUUUAAUUAGUUAUUUUUUGUUUUAUAUUUAGAUUUUCAUGAGCAUAGAGGACAUUCGAUUGAAACUCGAACAACUUAGAGCAAUCUCAUCAUAUUCAUAACUCGAUUUUGCCAUCCACAUUCCACUGCCAUUCACAUUCCACUCCCGAAAACAGAACCAAGCAGCCCAGAACCCGAACCAAUGGCUCAGAAUUGUAUUUAUGGAUGAUUUUACAGUUUAUUUUGAUUCUUUCGAUAAAUGUUUAGAUAACCUUACACUUGUUCUUAAACGAUGCAUUGACACUAACCUUGUGCUUAAUUGAGAAAAAUGUCAUUUUAUGGUUAAUCAAGGUAUUGUACUAGGCCAUGUUAUUUCUGAAAAGGGGAUUGAAGUUGAUAAAUCUAAGAUAGAUCGUAUACGCUCCUUACCACCUCCCACUAGUGUGAGGGAGGUUCGUUCUUUUCUUGGUCAUGCAGGUUUCUAUCGCAGGUUUAUCAAGGACUUCUCCAAGAUAGCUUUACCUCUCUGCAACUUACUUCAAACGGAUGCAACGUUUGACUUCAAUGAAGAGUGCCAAAGAGCUUUUAAGAAGUUAAAAGAGGUUUUGACAUCGGCCCCUGUGAUUCAACCACCAAACUGGGAUUUACCAUUUGAGAUUAUGUGCGAUGUCAGUGACUAUGCUGUUGGAGCCGUGUUGGGCCAGCGUGUGGCCCAGCUUCCUCAUGUCAUCUAUUAUGCCUCUCGUACAUUGAAUGAUGCACAACUUAACUACUCUACCACAGAAAAAGAACUUUUAGUAGUUAUCUUUGCCUUAGAGAAAUUUCAUUCUUAUUUAAUUGGAUCUAAGGUAAUCGUUUACUCUGACCAUGCAGCUAUUAGGUACUUGCUCACCAAAAAGGAUGCCAAACCGCGCCUUAUACGAUGGAUACUUCUAUUGCAAGAAUUUGACAUAGAGAUUCUAGAUAAGAGAGGUUCUGAGAAUUUGGUAGCAGAUCAUUUAAGUCGACUUAUCCAUAACGAAGAUGAACUUCCAUUGCAUGAGAACUUUCCAGAUGAGCAGUUAUUACAGGUAGGUACAGUUACUCCUUGGUAUGCAGAUAUUGUCAAUUACUUAGUUACCAGGACAAUACCAGAAGAGAUAACCCAUACUUGUGGAAGCAUUGUUCUGAUCAAGUUAUUAGAAGGUGUGUACCCGAAACUGAAUUUACUUCUAUUCUCACCUUUUGUCAUACUUUGGCUUGUGGAGGACAUUUUGGACCAAAGAGAACAGCCCUUAAAGUACUUGCGAGCAGUUUUUAUUGGCCAUCACUAUUUAAGGAUGCAUAUUUAUUUUGCAAAUCUACGAUCUACAACCUUCAACAAAACCUAGGUUAGUCAUUUUUCUUAUUUUCAUUAAUUUAAAAUGAGAUUUUAGAAUAAUAAUAGUUAUAGCUUGAGAAUAAUGGUGGCGGUGGUGAUGUUUGUGGUGGUUGGUGGUAUUUGGGGGUAUUGUUUUUUGAUUUUGGAGUGUUGUGGCUUAAUUUUGGGGGUGGGGAGGGAGGGGGGCAGGGCGCGCGCGCGCGCCCAUCGCUGGGCAGCAGCGCGCGGCCAUGCGCGGCACGCUGUUGCACCAAAUCAGCGUGCCCAUCGCUGGGCAGCAGCGCGCGCCCAUGCGCGCCUCGCUGUCGCACUAGAUUUGGUACGACAGGCGCCUGUCGCACCAAAAAUUAGAGUGUCCUUUUUUUCACGAGUCAAAUUUUUUUUUUUUUGUAAAUGUAAUGUAAUAAUUUUAUAAAUAUUACAGAUUCAUGGCGAAAUUAGAAUCACCGGAUAUCGAAGUAGGCAAGAUGUAUUUUCGUUAUGCCGAUCACUUUCCUGGUCGAAUUUCGAGCAUGUGUAAGUUAUCUUCGGUCGUAAAAGCCAUCGAGGAAAAAUUAACAAAGCGGCAGUUGAGUAUGUUCAAAAAGGAUAUAUUUGGGCAUUUCUUGGAGUGUCGAAGUUUUCCAUUUAGUGGGGUAAUUUUGCACAAUCUUUUACUGAGGCAAGUGGCCCAUGAAGAAGAUAGCCGUGAGGAUCAGUUAUGAUUUCAAAUUGGUGAGCAUUUGAUUCGCUUGUCAAUUGUCGAAUGGUGCUUGGUUACUGGACUUUCAUUUGUUGUUGAUACCAAUCAAAAAAAUGAUGAAAUGGAGCAGAGGCUACGGAAUACGUAUUUUGGUGGUGUGCAUCGUAAGAUUAAUGUGAACCAAUUCGAUGCAGUAUUUAAGAAGUUGAAAUUCGAGGAAAUGGACGAUAUGGACGCAUUAAAGAUUGCGCUGUUUUAUUUUGCGGACAGAGUACUAAAUGCAAGAAAAAAUCACUGUCAAAUCAAUUUCGAUUGGCUUGACCAAGUUGAUGAUAUACAGUACUUCCGAAACCAUCCAUGGGGUCUUGUGUCAUGGGAAAUGAUAUACGAUAGUCUUGACAAUGCACUGUUCGAGAAAGACAAUGGAAGCCCAUGGCGUCUUCGAAAAUCAACUUUGCGGAGGUUUAUUCGUUCUUCAACGACGAAUCUCGUCUUGUAAGUAAUAUGUAUUUUUUUUUUAACUUUACUAAAUUUAAGUUAUGUAUACUUACUUAAAAUUUUCAAUUGAAUUUAUGGCAGGGGGACGUUUUACAAACUCUUGAGCCAAAUUCAAAGGAGAGUAGCAGAAAAUAUUGGCUCUCUCUGUGAAGGAUUACUUGCCAAGCAUUCCAGACUGGGUUCAUAAGGUCGGUAUACUCUAAGUACUAAAAAUUUUUUAAUCGAAAUUUUUGACUUUUCAUUUACUAAUUUUAAAUGAUACUUUAUACAGCACCAACCCUCAAUCAACGCGAUGCGGUCGGUUACAAGGCAAUCAGACAAGCAUGAUGAUCACGACGACAUACCAAACCCAAUACCAGAGCAGCGUCAUGACACUUCUGAGGAUGAGGUGGCUGUUGAUGACCACCAGCAGCAAACAGACUACUCUGGAAUGGAAGCCCAUGGCGUCUUCAAAAAUCAACUUUGCGGAGGUUUAUUCGUUCUUCAACGACGAAUCUCGUCUUGUAAGUAAUAUGUAUUUUUUUUUACUCUGAUGAUGCAUGGGAUUCUGAGGUUAUAAAUAAUAUACGAUAUUUUUCCUUUAUAAAUUAUUAUUUUUUAUUGUUAUUCUAAAGUUUUAUUUUUUCUUUUGUAAUAGUCGAGGACAAAGCAGUUUAAUGAUUACAUAUAACGACGGCUAGAUAAGAUUGAUCGUAACGUGUAUGAAAUAAAGUCAGAAUUAAAAGAUUUUAAAGAAACCGUUGUUGGCUUCAUCGACACAUUUUCUAAACGUCCAAAUAAGGAUUCUCCCACUGCACGCUCGUAUGCGGUGAGCAAAUUUAAAUUUAAUAAUUAUGUUCGUUUAACUUUUAAUUUGAUAGUUGUUUAAUAUGUUCNNNNNNNNNNNNNNNNNNNNNNNNNNNNNNNNNNNNNNNNNNNNNUGUAUACUGUUGUGGAUUUGUGUAUAAAUUUUUUUUUAAAUCGUAAUAUUUCUGUUUCUCUACAGCAUAUUCACGAGUAUCUCCGCUUGAUUAGCGAGAAACAACGGCAGUAUCCAAAUGCCUUACUCCAACGUGUCACACAUACUGACACAUUUUUUUGGGUAACGUGCCGACAAAACUUAUAAAUACUAUUUAAUUUUUUUUAAUUAUUGCCUUUAAGUUUUGUUCAUUUAUGCAUUUCUUGGUUAUCUAUGUACUAGGUGUUCUUGAAUCAGUUAUGGAAUAACGGGGAUUGUUCGGUCGAUUCAUUGGUAUUCGACGACCGCUUGAAUAGAUAUCUUUGUGGGCGACAGCACACAAUGUCCAAAUCAAUGACGGAUGUCGAUAUGGUAUGUAUUUUAUUGCAUUUCACAUACUCCAUAAUGAAAAUAUUCGAGUUGUCGCUUUUUUUUGUUGUAUUUCAAUUUCAUAUAUAACGAACAUGUUUUUCAAUUUUAAUAUACAGUUACUCAUCCUUGUUAACUUGGACGGCGCGCAUUGGGUACUAGCACGAGUUGACUUUCGGAACAAUAAAGUCUGGAUUUAUGACUCAUUACUCACAUUUCGCGACGACAAAAGGUACAAGUUGAAAUUCAAGCCACUUGAAGUUAUAUUCCCUCGAUGGUUGGAAUAUGUUGGCUUUUACAACAUCCGACCCGAGUUGCGAAGUGUAGACCCCUGGAAAGUUAUCGCAGUUAAGAGCGCGCCACAACAAGAGCCCGAAACUGGCGAUUGCGGUGUUUUUGUAUUGAUGGUUACGAUGUAUUUAAUGUUCGGGCUUGGAUUGGAGUUUAACGCUAGUCAUGUCGAGUACUUUAGAAAGAAGAUUGCGGUUGACAUAUUUAAUGACGAUAUUGUAUUGUAAACCGUUGUAGUAAUUUGAAUGUUGAAACUUGAAUUUUUAUUUUAAUUUGCGCACUUAAAUUUAUAUAAUUUUAAUGCUCACAUUUUAAUAUUUAAAAUAAAAAUAAAAUUUUAUGACAUAUAAGUGUACAAUACACAAAAAACAAUUACAGUUUUAACCAACGAAAUACAAAAAGAACUAACUUCGAGUCGACGCAAUGGGAUUCUUACAUCGCUUAACCUUUACCUCGACCACAAAUCAUGGCGCAUGCGAUUGACAUGAGUAUGAGUGUGGAUGUAAAUCCACUGAGAGGAUUGGAGGACUCUAGUUUGUUUGCUGAGUUUGAUCGAUGGUUCACUGGUGAUAGCAAAGUCCGCCGGAGAGUCCAGCACCCGCGGUCAUUCUUUCAAAUACUUUUGGGUACAGCUUCGAUGGGAUGGCUAGGCAAUAAGGUAUUUAUAUUUUCGAAGUUAUGUAUACUGUUGUGUUGUGGAUUUGUUUCACCAAAAUUUUUCUUUUAAAUCGUAAUAUUUUUGUUUCUCUAUAGCAUAUUCACGAGUAUCUCCGCUUGAUUAGCGAGAAACAUGGAAUAACGGGGAUUGUUCGGUCGAUUCAUUGGUAUUCAACGACCGCUUGAAUAGAUAUCUUUGUGGGCGACAGCACACAAUGUCCAAAUCAAUGACGGAUGUCGAUAUGGUAUGUAUUUUAUUGCAUUUCACAUACUCCAUAAUGAAAAUAUUCGAGUUGUCGCUUUUUUUUGUUGUAUUUCAAUUUCAUAUAUAACGAACAUGUUUUUCAAUUUUAAUAUACAGUUACUCAUCCUUGUUAACUUGGACGGCGCGCAUUGGGUACUAGCACGAGUUGACUUCUCUCGCCCGAUAUGCCUGCUGGUAUGUUAACUGAACACCGUAUUCCUGUUGCAUAUCUGCUCUUAUGUCAUUCGGAGUAUAAAUCCUCUUGUCUUGAAUAUAUUUUUCUGCGAUAAUAUGACCGACAACCCAGCUCCUUACUUGAUGACGUCCAUCAACCAAUACCUCAUUAUGACAAGUGUGUACAUUGUCAAUUCUCUUUACCACCCAAGGAAUAUUUUGCUCGUUCGAACAUCUAGUUGCUUGAAUACGCCAUUUACAUGAUUCUGAACAACAGUGAGCCUCGAAACGUGUCAUAGUAGACCGUGCAAUCUUGAAAUCAAACUUAUCUCUAAAGGCAACCUUGCGUAGUUGUAAUAUAAACUUAUUCUUCUCAGCAAAUAGCUUACCCACACUGAUAUCAUCUGAAUCACAACUGCUAACAAAGCUUGGAGCAACCAUGUUCGAAGGCAAAGUUGGAGCAAGACUUGUAAGGGGGUCAAUUCGCCUUCUCGAUCGAACCAUAGAAAGACUAGGUCUAUUGCCUCUGUUAUUCACAGGAGUAUUGUCUUCACACUCAUCGUCGUGCUGAAACGACGGAACAUUUGAAGGACCGACUCCUUCAUCAUCACCAUCAUUAUUGAAAUGAGUGCCCCUCGUAUUAUUAGAAGGUUCUGCACAAACAUUAUCCCCCUCUGUCUCAUGAUGAAAAUCAUCAUUAUCCCGAAAAUCAUUGUUGUGAUACGGAGAAUACCGUUGCUCCAACGACGUCGUUAUUGGAAAUACCGUUGCUCCAACAUCCUCAACGUAACGCCGUUAUCAUCAAUAUUGUCAUAAUUGUCGUGGAUUGGAGAGUAAUAUUGCUGCAGCGAUAUUGUCCCUAGCAACACCUCUUCAUCAUUAUCGGGGCCAGACAUAUUUGCUCUAAACGAAGUUUCUGUAUCGACAUGUGGCUCAAUACCUUCACUCGGAACUCGAAACACUCUGCAGGUGCAAGUUCUCUUUUGCAAGUCAACCAAACCUUCCUUAAGCCCACCGCCUAUAACUUGAAAUCGAUGCGGAGACACCGACCGAACUAUCAUUCUUUCAGCUAUAGUUCUCCUCUCACUGACUAUUUCAUCCGCCCAUGUUGUUAGCCGAGUAGUCAUUGAUUCAGCCACAAUUUUCCUAUCAUAAAACCAUUGCUACAUUGUUUUCCUAAAGUGAUCAACAAGAUGAGUAACAGGAAAUUUUUGAGGUUCCCGCAUGAAAGAAUUAACACUCUCCGUGAUGUUGGUGGUAAGUAUGUUGUACCACCUACCUUCAAACUGAGACCUUGCCCAAUUACACGUACCGACAUUAUUUUCUAGGUAAUCAGCCGCACCCGAGUGGAUCAUCCACAACCCUUCAAGUUGUCUCUUAAAUUCCUCGUGGCCAUAUGCUUUUGCUGCAUUAAUAAAGGCAGGCUCAAAUUCAUCCCAAAGAGCUUUGGACAUUCUAAAUUGUGACUUAAUGUUACCUUUGACGUGGUAAAAACAAACGCCAUGAGUUGCAUUGUGAAAUACUUUAAGAACGGCUCUCCUUAUGGCAGUGCAUCGAUUAGAGAUAAUUACCAACUUAGAUCUAUCGCCAAUCACACCGUGUAACUUCAUCAUAAACCAUUCCCAAGCAUCAUUGUUUUCUGAAUCCAUGAUCCCAAUGGCUAACAGAUACAAUUGAUUGUUACCAUCAAGACAUGUUGCCACGAACAUGCUUCCACGAUAUAGUCCCUUCAGAUGAGUACCAUCUACAGCAAUGACAGGCCUAAUGUACUGCAUAAAACCCUUGAUGGAAGAUCCGAGUGCUACAAAAUAGUACAAGAAAUUACCAUCUCCAUCUUGCUCGAGGUGAGUGACUGUACCCUCAUUCGCUGUAGUUAGUACGUGAGAGUAUUUAGGGAGCAAGUUGUAUGACUCUGCAGGGUUGCCUCGAACUAUUUCAAGACCAACUUCUCUCGCCCUAUAUGCCUGCUGGUAUGUUAACUGAACACCGUAUUCCUGUUGCAUAUAUGCUCUUAUGUCAUUCGGAGUAUAAAUCCUCUUGUCUUGAAUAUAUUUUUCUGCGAUAAUAUGACCGACAACCCGGCUCCUGACUUGAUGACGUCCAUCAACCAAUACCUCAUUAUGACAAGUGUGUACAUUAUCAAUUCUCUUCACCACCCAAGGAACAUGUUGCUCGUUCGAACUUCUAGUUGCUCGAAUACGCCAUUUACAUGAUUCUGAACAACAGUGAGCCUCGAAACGCGUCGUAGUAGACCGUGCAAUCUUGAAAUCAAACUUAUCUCUAAAGGCAACCUUGCGUAGUUGUAAUAUAAACUCAUUUUUCUCAGCAAAUAGCUUACCCACACUGAUAUCAUCUGAAUCACAACUGCUAACAAAGCUUGGAGCAACCAUGUUCGAAGGUAAAGUUGGAGCAAGACUUGUAAGGGGGUCAAUUCGCCUUCUCGAUCGAACCAUAGAAGGAAUAGGUCUAUUGCCUCUGUUAUUCACAGGAGUAUUGUCUUCACACUCAUCCUCAUGUUGAAACGACGGAACAUUCGAAGGACCGACUCCUCCAUCAUCACCAUCAUUAUUGAAANNNNNNNNNNNNNNNNNNNNNNNNNNNNNNNNNNNNNNNNNNNNNNNNNNNNNNNNNNNNNNNNNNNNNNNNNNNNNNNNNNNNNNNNNNNNNNNNNNNNNNNNNNNNNNNNNNNNNNNNNNNNNNNNNNNNNNNNNNNNNNNNNNNNNNNNNNNNNNNNNNNNNNNNNNNNNNNNNNNNNNNNNNNNNNNNNNNNNNNNNNNNNNNNNNNNNNNNNNNNNNNNNNNNNNNNNNNNNNNNNNNNNNNNNNNNNNNNNNNNNNNNNNNNNNNNNNNNNNNNNNNNNNNNNNNNNNNNNNNNNNNNNNNNNNNNNNNNNNNNNNNNNNNNNNNNNNNNNNNNNNNNNNNNNNNNNNNNNNNNNNNNNNNNNNNNNNNNNNNNNNNNNNNNNNNNNNNNNNNNNNNNNNNNNNNNNNNNNNNNNNNNNNNNNNNNNNNNNNNNNNNNNNNNNNNNNNNNNNNNNNNNNNNNNNNNNNNNNNNNNNNNNNNNNNNNNNNNNNNNNNNNNNNNNNNNNNNNNNNNNNNNNNNNNNNNNNNNNNNNNNNNNNNNNNNNNNNNNNNNNNNNNNNNNNNNNNNNNNNNNNNNNNNNNNNNNNNNNNNNNNNNNNNNNNNNNNNNNNNNNNNNNNNNNNNNNNNNNNNNNNNNNNNNNNNNNNNNNNNNNNNNNNNNNNNNNNNNNNNNNNNNNNNNNNNNNNNNNNNNNNNNNNNNNNNNNNNNNNNNNNNNNNNNNNNNNNNNNNNNNNNNNNNNNNNNNNNNNNNNNNNNNNNNNNNNNNNNNNNNNNNNNNNNNNNNNNNNNNNNNNNNNNNNNNNNNNNNNNNNNNNNNNNNNNNNNNNNNNNNNNNNNNNNNNNNNNNNNNNNNNNNNNNNNNNNNNNNNNNNNNNNNNNNNNNNNNNNNNNNNNNNNNNNNNNNNNNNNNNNNNNNNNNNNNNNNNNNNNNNNNNNNNNNNNNNNNNNNNNNNNNNNNNNNNNNNNNNNNNNNNNNNNNNNNNNNNNNNNNNNNNNNNNNNNNNNNNNNNNNNNNNNNNNNNNNNNNNNNNNNNNNNNNNNNNNNNNNNNNNNNNNNNNNNNNNNNNNNNNNNNNNNNNNNNNNNNNNNNNNNNNNNNNNNNNNNNNNNNNNNNNNNNNNNNNNNNNNNNNNNNNNNNNNNNNNNNNNNNNNNNNNNNNNNNNNNNNNNNNNNNNNNNNNNNNNNNNNNNNNNNNNNNNNNNNNNNNNNNNNNNNNNNNNNNNNNNNNNNNNNNNNNNNNNNNNNNNNNNNNNNNNNNNNNNNNNNNNNNNNNNNNNNNNNNNNNNNNNNNNNNNNNNNNNNNNNNNNNNNNNNNNNNNNNNNNNNNNNNNNNNNNNNNNNNNNNNNNNNNNNNNNNNNNNNNNNNNNNNNNNNNNNNNNNNNNNNNNNNNNNNNNNNNNNNNNNNNNNNNNNNNNNNNNNNNNNNNNNNNNNNNNNNNNNNNNNNNNNNNNNNNNNNNNNNNNNNNNNNNNNNNNNNNNNNNNNNNNNNNNNNNNNNNNNNNNNNNNNNNNNNNNNNNNNNNNNNNNNNNNNNNNNNNNNNNNNNNNNNNNNNNNNNNNNNNNNNNNNNNNNNNNNNNNNNNNNNNNNNNNNNNNNNNNNNNNNNNNNNNNNNNNNNNNNNNNNNNNNNNNNNNNNNNNNNNNNNNNNNNNNNNNNNNNNNNNNNNNNNNNNNNNNNNNNNNNNNNNNNNNNNNNNNNNNNNNNNNNNNNNNNNNNNNNNNNNNNNNNNNNNNNNNNNNNNNNNNNNNNNNNNNNNNNNNNNNNNNNNNNNNNGGAACAUUCGAAGGACCGGCUCCUCCAUCAUCACCAUCAUUAUUGAAACAAGUGCCCCGCCUCGUAUUAUUAUAAGGUUCUGCACAAACAUUAUCCCCCUCUGUCUCAUGAUGAAAAUCAUCAUUGUCCCGAAAAUCAUUGUUGUGAUACGGAGAAUAUCGUUGCUCCAACGACGUUGUUAUUGGAAAUACCGUUGCUCCAACAUCCUGUAACGUAACGCCAUUAUCAUCAAUGUUGUCAUAAUUGUCGUGGAUUGGAGAGUAAUAUUGCUGCAGCGAUAUUGUCCUUGGCAAUACCUCUUCAUCAUUAUCGGGGCCAGACAUAUUUGCUCUAACAAAAGUUUCUGUAUCGACAUGUGGCUCAAUACAUUCACUCGAAACUUGAGGUAAUGUGGUCACGAAUAUAGGAAUGCAUCCAAAAUUGGCUACGUCGGAUGCUAUAUGCAACACAACCCUCACCAUUUCAUCAUCAAAUAUAUCCAUGGGCAGUGCACAUAUACGAUAUAAUGUGUUACUAGACCUCAAAGUUGUCUUCAUUGUGAUACUAUAUUCAUUAGGGUUUAUUUGUAACACCUCGUAUACUCUUGCCAAUAACUGAUCAAACAGACAAUUUUUCCCAACCAAAAAAGCUCGAUUUUUACCAUUCACAUACUCCAUACGGCCAUCCUCUAAUGUCUCCCACCAACCAUCGUAACACAAUUCAAGUACAACUGAAUCCAUUAAGCCUGAAAUUAUAUAAAAAAAAAAUAUUUAGAUCCGGAUUAAAUUAAUACAGUUUUAAUGAAUCUCUAAGGCUUGGUGCGACAGGCUGCCUGCGCCCGAAGCUUGGUACGACAGGCAGCCUGUCGCCAGAUUCAGCCGCUACUCAGUUCAGUAAGUUCAGAAAAUAACUCAUACCACUAAGUGAUGCCGAUUAGUGUUGGAUUUGGAUAGAUUAUGAUCAGAUUUCACUUUUACCGUUGUCUUUUGCCGUCGCCGUUGGUUGAUGAUUCAAGAGUGGAAAGCUGCGUUUGGUUUGACGAUAUGGGAGAAAGAUUGUUGCUUUUGGUCUGUAAAAAAGGGUAAUUUGGGGAGAAAGGCUUGUGUUUGGCUAAUGUUGAUAGAAAAAAGUUGAGAGGGUUAGUUGUGAAAAUAACAAAAUAUUUAUGGUUAUUUUCGUAAAUUUCCCAAACUUUUCCUACAGCAUAUCAAUUAUCCACUAAAUCUAAAAUAAUAAUAAUAAUAAUGUACAUAUAAGUGAAAAUUUUGCUUAAUUUUGAUGACAAACAGAGAAAGUGCCUAUAAAAUAAAAAUAUGAAAAUUACAAGUGAUAAAAUACAUAAAUUAGGUAAAUGUUAAAUACCCUUUAAUAAUUUUUAAAAGAAUUUGUGGUUGAAACUGAAACCCAGUGGUUCUUCUUCGUUAUCCACUUUCUAUGGCAACAAUGAAACAUUCUUUUUCUUCUUCUUCUUCACUCUCUCUCUCUCGAUUCUUCCACAAAACUACUCUCCAUUACAACAUCAACAAUGGCUUCAGUAAUCUCCGAAUUUCUACAAUAAUUAAAAAAAAUCCAAGCUUACUUGGGGUGGAGUUGGUGAUGGUUUGCUGUUGGUUCACGUGAGUUGCUGGUGCUGCUGGUUUCGGGUGGCGUUGGAGCUGAGAUCGCUGCUGCUGCAUCGCGCGCGUUCGAUUGGCUGCACUACGUCGCGCGGGUGGUGCUGUUGGGUGUGGGUCGCUGUUGCGUCGCCCGUUUGGUGUUGUAUUGCUACUGGGUUGCUAGCUCUGCUGCGUCGCGCGUGGACGGUGGAUCGCUACUGAAGGUGGUGGCUCCUUAAUUUGGUGUGAGGAUGAGGCAGUAAACGUCGGCUGUUGGCUGCCGGCGGAAAGUGCAGUGAGAGUCUGAUGGAGCGGCUGGAGAAGUGGAGAUAAAUUUAGGAAUUUUAGGUUUUGGGAAUUUGGUAAAGUCUAAUACCAUCAAAAUCCUUUUCCUAAUCUAACACCAUCUGUUAGGCUGCUGCUCUUAGAUAGCAGCAACGAAUUGAAGAGAAGAAUUACAGAAGAAUAAUGACGAGAGGGAGAAUUGUGUGGGAUGUAUCCCAUUUCCUUCAAAAUACCCAAUAUAUACCUAAAAUUAUAACACUCUUAAAUUUUACACAUAUAUACUCUAAAAAAUUAGAGAAAGUACAAAAAUAACCACAACUAAAUCCUCAUAAAACUAAACCCAAUUUCUCGAAGUUAGGUAAAUAGUCGAGAAUACUCGACUUCAACCAAACCAUACACAAUUAGUAAUUCAUCAUAAAUUCUUGACUUUUUCAUGUUAAUCGGGUAAAUAGUCAAGAAUACUCGACUUCAAUUGAAAUAAAAAAUUAUCUGAAAAAUUCUCGAUUUUUUCAAGUAAGUCGAGUAAAGAGUCGAGAAUACCCGACUUUAAUUUAACCUUACCCAAUAUUCAUUCAGCAAAAAUUCUUAACUUUUCAUUAAAGUUCAGUAAUUGAUUGAGAAUAUUUGACUUAAAUUGAAUUGAAAAUUUUCCUUUUAAUUAAAUCAGGUAAAAAGUCGAGUAUACUCGAAUUUGGUUGUGUUAUUAUGCAGAAGUUAUGAGAGAGGAAGUAAACAUAAAUAGAUGGUUUUUUUAGGUUAUUUUUUACUUUUAAUACUUUCAUGAGGUAUAUGUAUGUAAUGGGGUAUAUAUUUUGUAUUUAAGAAUAAAUGGGGUAUAUUUAAAUAAAAAACUCGAGAGGAGAGGUGGCCAUAGGGGAAAUGAGAGUUUUUUAAGUAAUUGUUAUUCUUUAUUAAUCUAACAAUAGUUUCUUAUACAGAGGCAAAGAAAUCCGACUAAAAUAAUAAUUCCUAAUAACAUAAUAACUAACUUAGUAACUAAUCCUUAACAGAAAAUGAAAUAAUGUAGAACUGAGACUAGGAAGGGCAUCUCCAAUGCUUAACACUAUUAUGGUGUAAUACUAAUAUAAACAAUUUUUUUUUUCACACUAAAUUAUUAUUUCAUCUAUAACCCAUUUACACCAAAAAAAAAAAAUUCUUUUUAUUCUCAAGAAUUAAUUCAAUUAACACAAUAAAUAUUACUAUUAAUAUAAUGCAAUGUGAGCCUUUUUAUCAUUGAUUUGUUUGUGUCGAACAAGAAAUUCUUAAAAUCUAGUAUUCUUAUCUACCCUCAUAUCAACGAUUGGUAUUGGGGCUUGCAUCCAAUCAUUAAUUGUUGCAUUAACAUCACGUUCAUCUUCAAUUAUCAUAUUGUGCAUAAUAAUGCAAGCAGUCAUUAUAUCAUGUAACACAUGUUUGUUCAAAAAACAUGAUGGUCCAACAACAAUUGCAAAACGUGAUUGAAGGGCUCCAAAUGCACGUUCUACAUCUUUUCCGACAUGCUUCUUGUUUCAUAGCAAAUAAUUUCUUUUUAGGACCACGUGGAUCAUGGAUAGUUUGUACAAGAGUAGACCAUUUUGGGUAGAUACCAUCAGCUAAAUAAUAACCCAUAUUAUAUUUGUUCCCUUUAAUGACAUAAAUCGAGCGAAGGUGUUACUGGCACAAGAUAAGAAAUACAAUAAAUGGUUCAAAUUUGAUUAUGUAUGGCCUAUCCUUAAAGAUAUUGAAAAAUUUGGAGAUGAUAAUAGCAUUGCAACACCAUACUUUCGAAGGCAAAGUAGCGAAUUUGUGCCAUCACAAUCAGAUUCUCCCGCUCUGGAGUCUCCAACAUCAACAUCUCCUAGUCUAUCAUCAUUUUCACUAAAUAUAAAUGACGAGCAUGUUAACGAUUGUUCUACUCAACGACCCAUUGGAGUAAAGAAGGCAAAAGGAAAAAGGAAAGUUGAAGAUCAAAAUUCACUAAUUAUUGAUACUAUUAAAGAAGACAAUCGACGACUUUAUGAAAUUCUUCAAAAGGCAGUGACGAUAGGCAACAAAAUUAUCAAAUUCAAAUGAUACGAGCCCAAAAUGAGAAAAAAAAAUUAGAGAUGGUCACAUAUCGUGAAGAAAACAAAAUUUUACUUAAAGAUUUAAAUUCGAUAAGUGAUCCAAGCUUGCGUCAAUAUUCUAAAAAUGAACAAAUUAAGAUUUUGCAGAGAAAAUCUCAGCAAGUCCAAACAUCUCAAAAUACUUCCAAUAAUAUUGACCAAUAUUUUGAUGAUAUUGGAGAAUCUAAUAAUGAUAUCCCAAAUUAUUAAAUAAUUGUUCUAAUUUAUGCUGCUAGUAGUAGGUUUUUUAAUUUUUGUUAAUUUAAUUUUGUAUUUUUAAUUUUGUGAUAUGUAAUCUAGUAAUUAAUGUUAAUCUAGUCCAAACAUCUCAAAAUAUGGUGCAAUACUAUUCAUAACACCAUUUUAGUGUUUGUUUUGGGAUAUUACAUUAGAAAAGUAUUUUACACCAAAAAUGGUGUAAAAAUUAAUUUGGUAUUAAUUUUGUUGUCGCAUUGAAAAUAGCGUAACACCAUCAAAAUUCUAUUGGUAUUCAUCACAACUAAAAAGGAAAAAAAAAGUUAGGUCAUUAUUGAAAAAUAUUAAGUGCGGUGGAAAUUAACCUAAAGUCUUGACUUUUAAUUAGUUAAUUGAUCGUUAAGAAAAUAUACAGAUACAGUUUUACACUUUCGGCUAUUAAAAUUAAGGGAAAUUAUCACUGCACCACCUCUUUUUUACCUUAUGUUCAUCCAACCACCAAAAAAUUCUAACAUGUUCUCUGCACCCCCUUUUUUUUUUUUUUUAAUUUGUAUCAACUAGCCACUUUUUAACUAACACCGUUAAAUAAUUUAAAUGAAAUGACAAUUUUACCCCUAAAUAAAUUAAAAGACCAUUUUAUUUUACAAAAAAAUUGAAAAAUAAGAAAAUUAUAAUUAUAAAAAUACCUCUAUAAUUAUAAAAAUACCUCUAAAUUUAAUAAAAAAUAAAUCCCAAAAUUUUUAUUUUUAAUAAAAUCUAAAUAAAAAUUAUAAUUAUAAAAAUAAUUACAAAAGGAUUUAAUAACUGCACUUUAAUGAAAGAAAAAAAUGAACCAAGAAUGGAAUGAUAGGAAGUAGAUGUAGGAAUUUAGGGCUGCUGUACCGUACAUCCGCCUUGGCCGUACAGCAGUGAUUUAUUUUUUAAUAAAUAAAUUCAGUUAUUUUAAUAAAAUUUUGUAAAAUUAUAAUUUUUAAUAAAUAAAUUCAGUCAUUUUUAUUAAAAUUUUGCAAAAUUAUAAUUUUUUAAUAAAAAUAAUUAUUAAAAUUUUGUAAAAUCUAAAUUAAAUAAAAAUCAACUGAGCACCUUUGUCUGGGAUUUAUUUUUUUAUUAAAUUUAGGAGUAUUUUUAUAAUUAUAAUUUUCUUAUUUUUCAAAAUUUUUGUAAAAUAAAAUAGUCUUUUAAUUUAUUAGGGGUAAAAUUAUCAUUUCAUUUAAAUUAUUUAACGGUGUUAGUUAAAAAGUGGCUAGUUGAUAUAAAUUGAAAAAAAAAAUGGUGCAGAUAAAAUGUUAAAAUUCUUUAAUAAUUGAAUGAACAUAAAACCAAAAAUAGGUGGUGCAGUGAUAAUUUUCCUAAAAUUAAUGAAGAAAUAAUGACAUUUGAGGUAAUAUAAAAUUUUCAUAUUUUUAUAAGAUAAAUUAAGGUGCCAUAUUUACCCAAACAUAAAUAAUAAAUUCAUGAUUAGUCAGAAACAAUAAGAAACUCAUCAAUACAAAAAUAAUAAUCAUAAUUACAAAUAAAGUUUUUAAUUUUUUUAAUUGAAAUCUUUAGUAUUUUUAAGACUGAACAGCUCAUUUACUCCGUACACAAGCAUUAGAAAAGUUUUAUACUGACAUGAACAAAUUGAAAAAUCCAUGCCGUUUUAAAAUGUUCAACCGAGAUUAACAGUUUAAAACCAAGAUUCAUAUUCCAACCAAAUAUUUUUUGUAAUCUAUUAAUAUAAAAUAUACAACAAUAACGGCUUCCUACCAUUGCUUCUGUAAAGCUACCAGGAAUCACAAUUAUGGAUACAAAAAGGGGAUUACACAACCAACAAAUCUUUCCAAUUUUUUUACCAAGGACAUAUCCCCACAGAAUUUACAGAACCGGGAAACUCCAACAUACGCUUUUCUUUUUCCUUUAAAGAAAAAAAAAAAAUCUAGUAUUCUGGCAUUCUCAGGCUAAUAAACAACGGUAAUCUGACAAAAGUGUUUACCUAGGUAUUCCGAGAUUGAAUACCAGCUUCAGCCUCUGAUAAGCUCUCAUGAUACUCAUCUAUUAAGUAGUCACAAAGUUCCAGAAGCUGAUCUGCAAGGGGAGGAAUAGCAGGAUGGCGUCCAUCGUUGUACUUAUGGGCAUUAAAGGCAAUUUGCCAUACAUCGUGUCUAAAAUCCUCUCGGUCCUUGUACUCCAUCCGCCUCACCUUACCCCUGAUUGUGGACAAAUCCAUGGGGCGCUCAAUGAUAUCCAGGUAAUCAGGAGCUUCUUUCUUGGCCACUGGUUUAAGGAAGAGAUAUGACAACUCAGUAUUUUCUCGGAGGGUCUCUACAAUGCGCUCUAAUAUGUUCGACAGACCAACCUGUAAGAUAAUUGAUUAGGAAAUUCAAACAAAACAAGUCCCAGUCCUUAAUUGAUAUAACACUUAAAGGAGAAAUGCAACAAACCCAACUCAGCAAUUAGACAUAACAAUCAAUAUAGCUCUUCAAACUUAUUCCCCUUUUCAACAUUAAAGGAACUACCCAGGAGCCUUUAAUUUGAUUAUUUAACUACCUGUAUGCUUGUCCUUUUGAACCACAACCACCCCAUACAAAACCUAAUAGUAAGUUUUCAAUCUUAGUCCAAUUUACUUUAUUAAGUAGAUAUAGAAAUAUUAUCAAUGGUUGAAAAAUAACAAGGUAUAAUGUGCUCAAUAUGAAAGCACAUAUGAUGAAAUCAAGGAUAGAGAUAAGAUAGUGCAUACCUCUCCCCCUCUGCGUCGCUUUGUUGGAGGUCCAUAAUCUGCACUGUGCUUUCCCAACUCUGCGCCAGGUUUCCUCUUUGCACCUCGAUCUCUUUCUGGCAUCCUUCUAUCAUUUCUUUUAGCCCUGUAGUCCUGUAAAUAAUCAUCUCCUAUUUCAGGUUUUUUCUUCUUCUUUUUCUUCUUCUUUGCUUUUUGGAUGAGUUCUUCCUCUCUCUCUUUUCUGAUGGAUUCUUCAUAUCUCCUAAGUUCAGCAAACCUUUCCCGCUCUUCCACAAACCUCCUUUCUUCCUCAUAGAUCCUCCUUGCCCUUUCUUCUUUGAUCCUCUCAGCAUUUCUUCUCUUCUCUUCCUCUUCCCACCAAUUCCUCUCAUCUCUCACUUUCCUUUUUGCUGAAUCAUUAGUCAAUAAAGGGAUCUGCUUUUC